CUACUAACGAUUGAAACUCUGUUAAAAUUGUCCACAAAUGAUACAUGUAGGUCUACAUAGUGUAGGAACAUACCACAAAAAGUUUGGGAGACAAAAUAAAAGAAAUAAAAAUAUACUUUGCCGAGUGUCUAGGUAUGGCACUCGGCAAAGAGUUCUUUGCCGAGCGUCAACUGGGCGACACUCGGCAAAGAAGACUCUUUGCCGAGUGCUAACCGUUGGCGCUCGGCAAAGACUGACGGCCGUCAGCUUUGGGACGGCCGCUGACGGCCCUUUGCCGAGAGCCCCGUUUGCCGAGUGUUCGACACUCGGCAAACAUGGAUUUGCCGAGUGUGGACCUGUACCGAGUGUCCUACUCUCGGUAAAGAUGCUCGUUACCGAGAGCCAAGCUUUGCCGAGUGCGGCUCUCGGCAAAGCCGUCUUUGCCGAGUGCCCGAGAAAAGGCACUCGGCAAAGCGGCCGGCACUCGGCAAAGUCUCGGAUUCCGGUAGUGCCUGAGGCUUGCGCACGAGACCUCGCUCCUUCCAUGCAUGGCCUCCAGUACCGGCCAGUGCUGAUGCUGGUCGUAACUCGUAAAUUCUGGCGCGCGACACGCUAGAACAAAGAGCUAUAUACUUCAGGGUUUUGGAAUGAGACAAUUAAUUAAGGCGGUUAAGUACGACUAUCGAUGUCCAUGACGAUCUUUUUCAUGUGCAGUAACUGAAGCAACAUGCCGAUCGAGAAAAUGAAUGGCCUGGUCUGGUCGGUCGUCGACCAAUGCAAGUGGGCGCGAUGCAUAUGCAGUACUAAGAGUGUAAGUACAAUAAUGGGCUUUAAGCCUGUUUACGUGGUAUUUUUUAUUAUGUGGAAAAGUAAGACAAGUAAAAAUUAGGAGGGAGUUCUAAUGCAAAAGCCAGUUGCUACACGGGCUUCAAGACAAAUAGCCAACCAGAGCUAGCUUUAUUAUAUGAGUGUUUAUUGUUGGAUUUUAUAUGGCAAUGGUAAUGAGUUAGUGCUAACAAUCAGGGCCGGGCCAAGGCACGUGCGAGCCGUGCGCUCGCACAGGGCCUCCAAAAAUUGAGGGCCUCAAAACUUAGUAGACGUAUAUAUUCUAGUUUUAUGAUCUUCUACACAUGUUAAUAUAUAGCACAUAUUUUUCUCCCUACCAUACCACUACGCUGAAGCGAAACUACCGAGCGCUCCACUAAAGAAUAAAUCUUCAUAGAAUCUUAACAUAUUUGUCCGCGUGAAUGAAGUUCUCUAAAUUAAAGCUACUAAAUUCAUAUUUGUGUUCUACUAUGAUAAAAAAAGACGUAUUAUUUAGCCACAAUAGCAUUCGAGAGUGAAGCUUUGGAGAAGAUCGAAUAUAAGCAUAUUGUACAAAUUUUCUUUAAAACCCACCAAAAGAGCGAUGUUAUUCAAAUAAAAUAGAAAUGUUUCUUUAGAUAUUAUAUUGCAAUAUAUAUUACUGUAACUUGCAGAUUGUUAUUACUGGUUUUUAAUAAAAACAUUUAUUACACUGCUUUAGAUUUGGGGAAAAAAGUUGCCGCAGCUGUCUGCAAACCAGAAUGUUUGCAGCUCCUCGCAAAAAAUGACGAUUGUCGGCGUUUCGAGACCGGGGGGUCCCCGAGCCGACGAGUGAGUGUGCCGCGUGCCCCAGCCCAGAUGGGUCGAGCGCGUGGGCGAGCGCGAAGGGGGGAGAGGCGAGGUGUCCGGAGACGGGCGUGAGAGAGGUGGAGAUCCCGCGGCCUUCGUGUUCGUCCCGCGCCCAGGUCGGGUGCGCUUGCAGUAGGGGGGUUACAAGCGUCCACGCGGGUGAGGGAAGCGAGCGGCCCCAAGAGAGCGCCUGUCCCGUCCUCGUCCCCGCGCGGCAAACCUUCUCUAAGAAGGCCCUGGUCCUUCCUUUUAUAGGCGUAAGGAAAGGAUCCAGGUGUACAAUGGGGGUGUAGCAGAGUGCUACGUGUCUAGCGGAGGGAGAGCUAGCGCCCUAAGUACAUGCCAAUGUGGCAGCCGGAGAGAUCUUGGCACCCUGCUGGUGUGAUGUCGUGGCUGUCGGAGGAGCAACGGAGCCUGGCGGAGGGACAGCUGUCGGAGCGGUCGAGUCCUUGCUGACGUCCCCCUGCUUCCGUAAGAGAGCUGAGAGCCGCCGUCGUCACAGAGCUUGUGGGGCGCCAUCAUUGCCCAUCUGGCGGAGCUAGCCAGAGGGGACACCGGUCUUGUUCUUCGUGACCCGAGUCGGCUCGGGGUAGGAUGAUGAUGGCGCUUCCCGUUGACGUGGCGGGCCUGUGCCCUAGGUCGGGCGACGUGGGGGCUCCUCCGAUGCCGAGGUCGAAUCUGUCUUCCGUGGCCGAGGCCGAGCCCGAGCCCCUGGGUCGGGCGAGGUGGAGGUCGUUCGGCAGAGGCCAGGGCGGAGUCCGAGCCCUGGGGUCGGGCGAAGCGGAGUUCGUCGUCUUCCGGGUCUCAGCCCGAGUCCGAGCUCUGGGGUCGGGCGGAGCGGAAUUCGUCGUCUUCCGGGUCUUAGCCCGAGUCCGAGCCCUGGGGUCGGGAGGAGCGGAGUUCGCCGUCUUCCGGGUCUUAGCCCGAGUCCGAGCCCUGGGGUCGGGCGGAGCGGAGUUCGCCGUCUUCCGGGCCUUAGCCCGAGUCCGAGCCCUGGGGUCGGGCGGAGCGGAGUUCACCGUCUUCCGGGUCUUAGCCCGAGUCCGAGCCCUGGGUCGGGCGGAGCGGAGCUUCCUAUGGCGCCUUUGGCAAGGCCUGACUGCCUGUCAGACUCACUCUGUCGAGUGGCACUGCAGUCGGAGUGGCGCAGGCGGCGCUGUCCUUUUGUCAGACCGGUCAGUGGUGCGGCGGAGUGACGACGGUCACUUCGGCACUGCCGGGGGGCGCGCGUCAAGAUAAAGGUGUCAGGCCACCUUUGCGUUAAAUGCUCCUGUAACUCGGUCAGUCGGUGCGGCGAUUUAGUCAGGGUUGCUUCUUAGCGAAGCCAAGGCCUCGGGCGAGCCGGAGAUGCGUCCGCCGUUAAAAGGGGGGCCUCGGGCGAGACGGAAGUCCCUCGAGGUCGGCUGCCCUUGGCCGAGGCUAGGCUCGGGCGAAGCGUGAUCGAGUCACUCGUAUGGACUGAUCCCUGACUUAAUCGCACCCAUCAGGCCUCUGCAGCUUUAUGCUGAUGGGGGUUACCAGCUGAGAAUUAGGCGUCUUGAGGGUACCCCUAAUUAUGGUCCCCGACAGUAGCCCCCGAGCCUCGAAGGGAGUGUUAGCACUCGCUUGGAGGCUUUCGUUGCACUUUUUUGCAAGGGGACCAGCCUUUCUCGGUUGCAUUUUGUUCCGGUGGGUGCGCGCGAGCGCACCCGCCGGGUGUAGCCCCCGAGGCCUCGGAGGAGUGGUUUCACUCCUUCGAGGUCUUAAUGCCUUGCGUAAUGCUUCGGCUGGUCUGGUUGUUCCCUCAUGCGAACUGGCCGUAGCCCGGGUGCACGGUCGGGGCCCAAGCUCUCGGGCUGGUAUGUUGACGCUGUCAACGGUCUGGCCGGAGCCGGGUUUGCGAGAGCAGCCCCCGAGCCUCCGCACAGGGCGAGAGGACGAUCAGGGACAGACUCGGCUUUUUUACAUACGCCCAUGCGUCGCCUUUCCGCAAGGAGGAGGGGGGGGGAGAGCGCCAUGUUACCCUCGAUGGGCACCGAACAUGGUGUCUCCGGUGAGCUGCAAGCGGGUGAUCCGAGUGGACGUCCGUGCCCCGUUCGUUGGGGGUCGGCUAGGGGCCCAGAGGCACGCCCAAAAGUACCUGCGGGUGAUCUUCCGGACCCGGUCCCCUGGCGACGGGGUCCGAGGGCUCGAUGCCUCCCUCCGAUGGGAUUCCGUUACAAGAUCGUUCCCGCUGGUCUCGAAAAUGUCCUAGGGUACCUCGGGAGCGCAGCCCGAGCCUCGGUUAUGUAUCGAACGUACCCCCGGUCAUCCCUCGCUCGGCGUCUGAGGCGACUGUGAACCCUUCGGGGGCCAGCCUUCGAACCCCUGAUCAGUAAUGGGCGCGGAGCCCGAGUAGCCUGAGGCGGCCAUGGAGCCCUUCGGGGGCUGGCCUUCGAACCCCUGACCAGUAGUGGGUGUCGGGCCCACGCGAUCUGAGGCGACUGUUGAACCCUUCGGAGGGCCAGCCUUCGAACCUCUGAUCAGUAGGGGGGGCUCGGAGCCCGGUUCCUUCGCAGAGAAGGAUCCUUUUCGGGGUAUCCCCCUUUCCCGGUCCCUGUUGCAAGAGAUAGAGAAAGAGGAAAAAGGAAAAGGAUACGAAAUCGAACAAUGUGGCGUACCUUUUUUGGCGCGGUUAUUACGGCGAAGGCGAAGCGUCGUCCGCUUCUCCUGCCAGAGGCGCCGCCUGUCCCGCCGCGGAGUUAAUGCGACGGGGCGAGUGGUUGGCGGGGCGGCCGUUUCGCGUGCGCGAGCCGUUCGGGGAACGGGUCACGGGCGCACCGUCUUCACGCCAUGGGAGGAGGCUCUCUUGCUGUCCCUGGAUGGGAUGUGAGCCUGGCGGACGACGUGACCGCUGCUCCCGCCCGCCUGCCACCGUCAUUACUGCCGGCCCACUUUCGGCCGCAUUGACUGUUGUGCCAGGCUGGCACUGCUGGGUCGUGCGCUGGGUCGCCUCGAGUCGCGGCAUAGGCUCCGCAACCGAAGAGGUGCGACGGUGGUACAAGUGGCGGUGCGGUUGCUUGCAUGCAGCAACUGGCGCGUUGGUUGCGUGAUGCGUGGGCCUGGGCCUCCAAGCUGGCGUGUCAGAAGUCGGAGAAGCGCGUCCACCUGGCGCGGUUGCAUGCCGCCUGCAUGGCUGCCCGCCCCUUCCGCCCGUUGGUCUGGGCAAAAGUGGGGGUCGCUUGUAACCACUGGGCGGUUGCGUGCACCACGCGCGGCGGUUUGGCUUCUUCUGCUCUGAGCUGGUUUGCAUGACAUGCGGGACCCAGCCCCCGAGCCGCAGGGGAGGGCCUUGGAGCGUGUUGGAGAAGACUCGGCCCGUGGCGUUUGGGGGCGCACGUAGGGAAAGUCGCCUUCAAAAAGGAGGGCGACCCCUUUCGGAAGGCAACCAUGUCUUCUUCCUCCCUUAUGCGUCGUGUCUUUCCAUCUUCCAAGCCCCCGGAUGGGGGGUAUCCGCCGUCUUUCCGCCUCCUCGUUGGAGGAACGCAACUCCGUGGGAGUUGGUACCUUUCAGCCAUCGUUCGGCUUCAAGGAUUUUCAUCAUGCAGCCCGGCCGCACCCCUCCACCGGCGGUCACCCAGGAUGGUGACCUCCGGCUUGAUAGUGGGGGAAAGCGAGCCGGGUUGCGGCCUCUGCCCCUCCCUCAGCCCCAAGGAUUUUCAUCACCAGGGCUGGGGAGGGGAGUGCGCCGAGUUGAGGUCGGCCCCCCGCGUGGGCGGCGGCCCGCUCCUUCACUCAGUGAUCAGAGGGAAGGGCGGUCGUCGUCCGCGGCGCUGGCAGCUGCACCGUGCCUGGCUCUCGGACGCGAGUGGCUUCGGAGCCGCUCGCGGCGCCGGCGUCCGCCACGACAGCUUGAAGAGGUUCUUCUGCCGGUGAGAUAGCCAAGGCUGGCCACGGACCGACCUUCAACUCUGCGGACUUCUGCCCGCCCUUGCCUCACAAGUUUUGGCGUGGGCGGGGGCCUUCUGGUAGCAGCACCCGCCCUGAGGUCGGUGCUGCCGCUGUUCGACCCCCCGGAGCAGAAGUCGUCGUCGUCGCCACUGCUGGAGCAGGUGACGGCGCGCCGUUCGUCGGCCUUCCGUUGCUCCGCAGGCCUUCCCCCUCGGAGUGGGGUUGUUCGUACCUGCGGAGGGGGAACCGGAGUUCCGUUUGUAAUGGCACUUCGAAUGCCAGUGCUUUUGUUCAUUGUGGCUGUCGAGGCCUGAACAUGUAUGUAAUUUCGGCACAGAGCCGUGUUUUUUCUUCAUUUUCGAGCACUAAGUCUCGCCUGUUGAUUAUCUGAACCGCUUCACCAAGCAUGAGUCGCCCCAUGUCAAGGUGAUGAGUGAGGUAUCCGUAUCCCGGAGGCGUAGGAGUCCCUCGGCUCGAUCGGCCUUGUUGUCUGAGGCUCCUCUAGCUUAGUUAAAGGGACCCCUUGGCCGCUCUUCGAUGAGCCGAGGCCAGGGGUAGCGAUAUCAGUACGAACAGAGGCGGAGUUGGCUCAAAAAUGGGAACCUGGUUGGCCGGAGCCUAGCCGGGUUGCCCGUCAGCAGGGCCGGCGCCGGAGUCGAUCAGCCGAGGCCUCGGGUCGGGCUGGCGCCCUUGGAAGAUGGUUGGCUGAGGCUCCAGGGGUAACCGGCCGAGCCGCCUGCUCGGGCCGGAUUCCCGGAGAAGUCCCUGGACCGCGUCGCCGUCCGAGGCUGGGUCGGACCUCGCUGAAGGCGUCAUCGAUGCCGAGGGUGCUGCAGCCCCCUUCAGCGUGAAGACCCGAACCUGCAGGAUCAGAUUAUCUUGUAGCGUGUGCCUUCUGCGGCCGCCGAGGCCAGAAAACACACCCUCGCUGCGUUGUAAAGCCGCGUCUCUUUUCCUCUUGUUCCGAGCAUCUGGACUUUUUUGUCGAUGUCAGGGAUGUUUGUGCGGGCGAGAGUUGCUUCUCGCGGAAGGUGAUGAGUGAGGUAUCCGUAUCCCGGAGGCGUAGGAGUCCCUCGGCUCGGUCGGCCUUGCCGCUUACGCGUACUUUUGCCCGUCCAUGAGGCCCUGUCACCGAUUCAGUCGAGAAGGCUUGAAAGACCGCCUCGGCAGAAGAGCUUCCGAACGUGAAGACUUGUUCGGUCCACGGAGUCGCUUUAUCCGAACGCGGGUUACUUAUCGCAGAAGGUGAUGAGUGAGGUAUCCAUAUCCCGGAGGCGUAGGAGUCCCUCGGCUCGGUCAGCCUUGGCUGCUUACGUGUACUCCGUCGUUUCCAGGAUCCGCUUUUUGAAGUAGUCAAAAAGCACGAAAGAAGUUCUGCUAAAAAGAGAUCCUUUUUCGAGGAAAAUUUCGACGCAGAGGGGGUCUCCCCCCUUUUAGCCCCCGGGGGAGGGUCGGGCUUUGCCGAGGCGAGGCCGACCCUUCCUUGAUGACUAAACUUUGCGUGGGUGCGAGGUAUAUGAACAAUUUGAAAACAUCUUAAGGGUAGAAGCGACGUAGCUGUUUGAUGUUCCAAGCGUUGCCGUAGAUCUCGCCUUGAUUGUUGGCCAACUUGUAUGUUCCGGGCUUCAGAACUUUGGCGAUGACGAAUGGCCCCUCCCAGGGGGGCGUGAGCUUGUGCCUCCCUCGGGUGUCUUGCCGCAGCCGAAGCACCAGGUCGCCCACCUGGAGGUCUCGGGGCCGGACCCUCGGGCGUGGUAGCGUCGCAGGGACUGCUGGUACCGCGCCGAGUGUAGUAAGGCCUUGUCCCGAGCCUCCUCCAGCUGGUCCAGCGAUUCUUCUCGGCUAGCUUGGUUGCUUUGAUCGUUGUAGGCCCUCGUCCUCGGGGAGCCGUAUUCCAGGUCAGUGGGCAAGAUGGCCUCGGCCCCGUAGACCAGGAAGAACGGCGUGAAACCCGUGGCUCGGCUCGGCGUCGUCCUCAGGCUCCAGACCACCGAGGGGAGCUCCUUCAUCCAUCGCUUGCCGAACUUGUUGAGGCCGUUGUAAAUCCGAGGCUUGAGCCCUUGUAGAAUCAUGCCGUUGGCACGCUCUACUUGCCCAUUCGACAUGGGAUGAGCCACGGCAGCCCAGUCCACCCGGACGUGGUGAUCCUCGCAAAAAUCCAGGAAUUUUUUGCCGGUGAACUAGGUACCGUUGUCGGUGAUGAUGGAGUUUGGGACCCCGAAGUGAUGGAUGAUGUUGGUGAAGAACGCCACCGCCUGCUCGGACCUGAUGCUGUUCAGGGAUCGGACCUCGAUCCACUUGGAGAAUUUGUCGAUGGCGACCAGCAGGUGCGUGUAGCCCCCGGGCGCCUUCUGCAAGGGACCGACGAGGUCCAGACCCCAUACAGCAAAGGGCCAGGUGAUGGGUAUCGUCUGCAGAGCCUGAGCGGGCAGGUGGGUCUGCUUCGCAUAGAAUUGGCACCCUUCGCAGGUGCGGACAAUUCUAGUGGCGUCAGCCACCGCCGUUGGCCAGUAGAAGCCUUGCCGGAAAGCAUUCCCGACAAGGGCUCGAGGCGCUGCAUGAUGGCCGCAAGCCCCCGAGUGUAUUUCUUGCAGGAGUUCCUGACCUUCGGCGAUGGAGAUGCAUCGCUGGAGGACGCAAGGGGCUCCGGUGGUAGAGCUCCUCCUCAUUGCCCAGCAAGACGAACGACUUGGCGCGUCGAGCUACCCGCCGAGCCUCGGCUUGGUCGAGGGGUAGCUCUCCCUGGCGGAGAUAUCGCAGGUACGGGGCCUGCCAAUCUCGAUCAGGCGUGGCCCCGCUCUGCCCCUCCUCGAUGUCCAGUGCCUCACCCUCGGGGGCCGAGGGUACCUCGGGCUGAACCGCGGACGCCUCGGGCUGAGCCGAGGGUGCCUCGGGUUGAGCCGAGGGUGCCUCGGGCUGUGCCGAGGGCGCCUCGGGCUAUGCCGAGGGUGCCUCGGGCUCUGGAGCAUCGUCGAUCUUGACGGAGGGUCGAUGUAGAUCCCGGGAGAAGACGUCCGGGGGAACCGUUGUUCGCCCCGAGGCUAUUUUAGCCAGCUUGUCCGUAGUCUCGUUGUAGCGCCGAGCGAUGUGGUUGAGCUCGAGCCCGUAGAACUUGUCUUCCAGGCGCCGAACCUCAACGCAGUAGGCCUCCAUCUUCGGGUCGCGGCAGUGGGAGUUCUUCAUGACUUGGUCGAUGACGGGCUGCGAGUCACCGCGGGCGUCGAGGCGUCUGACCCCUAGCUCGAUGGCGAUCCGCAACCCGUUGACCAGAGCCUCGUACUCAGCCACAUUGUUGGACACCGGGAAAUGGAGGCGUAGCACGUAGCGCAGGUGCUUCCCGAGGGGCGAGAUGAAGAGCAGGCCCGCGCCGGCUCCCGUCUUCAUCAGCGACCCGUCGAAAAACAUGUUCCAGAGCUCCGGUUGGAUCGGAGCCGUCAGUAGCUGGGUGUCGACCCAUUCGGCUACGAAGUCCGCCAACACCUGGGACUUGAUGGCCUUCCGAGGGGCGAACGAGAUUGUUUCGCCCAUAAUCUCCACCGCCCACUUUGCGAUCCUGCCCGAGGCCUCUCGGCACUGGAUGAUCUCCCCCAGGGGGAAGGAUGACACCACAGUUACCAGAUGAGAUUCGAAGUAGUGUCGUAACUUCCGCCUCGUCAGGAUCACAGCAUACAGCAGCUUCUGAACUUGUGGGUAGCGGAUCUUGGUCUCGGACAGUACCUCGCUGACGAAGUAGACUGGCCUCUGAACGGGCAACGCAUGCCCUUCCUCUUUCCUCUCGACCACAAUCGCGGCGCUAACCACCUGAGUGGUAGCGGCGACGUAGACCAAGAGGGCUUCUCCAUCAGCGGGGGGCACCAAGACAGGCGCCUUUGUAAGGAGCGCCUUCAGGUUCCCGAGGGCUUCCUCGGCCUCAGGGGUCCAAGCGAAACACUCGGUCUUCCUUAAGAGGCGGUACAGAGGCAGACCUCUUUCGCCGAGGCGUGAGAUGAAGCGGCUCAGGGCCGCGAGGCAUCCCAUGACCCUCUGUACGCCUUUUAAGUCCUUGAUGGGUCCCAUGCUGGCGAUAGCUGCGAUCUUCUCCGGGUUGGCUUCGAUGCCUCGCUCGGAGACGAUGAACCCCAGGAGCAUGCCCCGGGGCACCCCGAAGACACACUUCUCAGGAUUGAGCUCGACUCCUUUCGCCUUGAGACAUCGGAAUGUCACUUCAAGGUCGGAGAGGAGGUCGGAAGCCUUUCUUGUCUUGACUACGAUGUCAUCGACGUAGGCCUCGACUGUGCGACCGAUGUGUUCGCCGAACACAUGGUUCAUGCACCGCUGGUACGUCGCGCCCGCAUUCCUCAAACCGAACGGCAUGGUGACAUAGCAGUACAUGCCGAACGGCGUGAUGAAAGAAGUCGCGAGCUGGUCGGACUCUUUCAUCCGGAUUUGGUGAUACCCUGAGUAGGCAUCGAGGAAGGACAGGGUUUCGCACCCAGCAGUGGAAUCCACGAUUUGAUCGAUGCGAGGCAGAGGGUAGGGAACCUUCGGACAUGCUUUGUUGAGACCAGUGUAGUCUACACACAUCUGCCAUUUCCCCCCUUUCUUCCUCACAAGCACAGGGUUGGCAAGCCAUUUGGGAUGGAAUACCUCUUUGAUGAACCAUGCUGCCAUUAGCUUGUGGAUCUCCUCGGCUAUCACUCUGCGCUUCUCCUCGUCGAAUUGGCGCAGAGGCUGCCUGACGGGUCGGGCUCCGGCCCGAAUAUCCAGCGAGUGCUCGGCGACCUCCCUCGGUAUGUCGGGCAUGUCCGAGGGACUCCACGCAAAGACGUCGGUGUUUGCGCGGAGAAAGUCGACGAGCACUGCUUCCUAUUUGGGGUCGAGCCCGGAACCGAUCCGGAUCUGCUUGGAGGUGUCGCCACUGGGGUCGAGAGGGACGGCCUUAACCGUCUCCGCUGGCUCGAAGUUGCCGGCAUGACGCUUCACGUCCGACACCUCUUUGGAGAGGCUCUCCAGGUCGGCGAUGAGGGCCUCGGACUCGGCGAGGGCCUCGGCGUACUCCACGCACUCCAUGUCGCAUUCGAACGCGUGUUUGUACGUGGGGCCGACGGUGAUGACCCCGUUGGGGCCCGGCAUCUUGAGCUUUAGGUAGGUGUAGUUGGGGACGGCCAUGAACUUCGCGUAGCAUGGCCUUCCCAGUACCGCGUGGUAGGUUCCUCGGAACCCUACCACCUCGAACGUCAAGGUCUCCCUUCGGAAGUUGGAGGGCGUUCCGAAGCAGACGGUGAGGUCGAGUCGUCCGAGGGGCUGGACGCGCUUCCCAGGGAUGAUCCCGUGGAAGGGCGCAGCGCCUGCCCGGACGGAGGACAGAUCGACGCGCAGGAGCUUGAGGGUCUCGGCGUAGAUGAUGUUGAGGCAGCUGCCCCCAUCCAUCAGGACCUUGGUGAGCCUGACGUCGCCGACGAUGGGGUCGACGACGAGCGGGUAUUUCCCCGGGCUCGGCACAUGGUCGGGGUGGUCGGCCUGGUCGAAGGUGAUGGGCUUGUCGGACCAGUCUAAGUAGACUGGCGCCGCCACCUUCAUCGAGCAGACCUCUCGGCGCUCUUGCUUGCGAUGCCGAGCCGAGGCAUUCGCCGCAUGCCCACCGUAGAUCAUGAAGCAGUCGCGGACCUCGGGGUAUUCUCCUGCUUGGUGAUCUUCUUUCUUGUCGUCGUCGUGGGCCCUGCCACCCUCCGCGGGUGGCCCGGCCCUGUGGAAGUGGCGCCGAAGCAUGACACACUCCUCGAGGGUGUGCUUGACGGGCCCCUGAUGGUAGGGGCACGGCUCCUUGAGCAUCUUGUCGAAGAGGUUAGCACCUCCGGGGGGCUUCCGAGGGUUCUUGUACUCGGCGGCGGCGAUAAGGUCCGCGUCAGCGGCGUCGCGUUUCGAUUGCGACUUCUUCUUGCCCUUCUUCUUGGCGCCGCGCGGAGUAGACACCUCGGGAGCCUCUUCCGAUGGGCGGCCCUGGGGCUGCUUGUCCUUUCGGAAGAUAGCCUCAACCGCCUCCUGACCAGAGGCGAACUUGGUGGCGAUGUCCAUCAGCUCGCUCGCCCUGGUGGGGGUCUUGCGACCCAACUUACUCACCAGGUCACGGCAGGUGGUGCCGGCAAGGAACGCGCCGAUGACAUCCGAGUCGGUGAUGUUGGGCAGCUCGGUGCGCUGCUUCGAGAAUCGCUGGAUGUAGUCCCGGAGCGACUCUCCUGGCUGUUGCCGGCAGCUCCGAAGGUCCCAGGAAUUUCCGGGGGCGCACGUACGUGCCCUGGAAAUUGCCGGCGAAGGCUUGGACUAAGUCGUCCCAGUUGGAGAUCUGCCCCGGAGGCAGGUGCUCCAACUAGGCGCGAGCAGUGUCGGAGAGGAACAGGGGGAGGUUACGGAUGAUGAGGUUGUCGUCGUCCGUUCCACCCAGUUGGCAGGCCAGGCGGUAGUCCGUGAGCCACAGUUUCGGUCUCGUUUCCCCCGAAUACUUCGUGAUAGUAGUCGGGGGUCGGAACCGGGUCGGGAACGGCGCCCGUCGGAUGGCCCGACUGAAGGCUUGCGGACCGGGUGGUUCGGGCGAGGGACUCCGAUCCUCCCCGCUGUCGUAGCGCCCCCCACGCCUGGGGUGGUAGCCUCGGCGCACCCUUUCGUCGAGGUGGGCCCGACGGUCGCGUCGAUGGUGCUCGUUGCCGAGGUGGCCCGGGGCCGCAGGCGCGGUGUUGCGCGUGCGUCCGGUGUAGACCGAGGCUUCCUGCAUAAAUCGAGAAGUCGCGGCGUGAGGUUCCGAGGGGUAUCCCUGCCUCCGGGAGGCAGUGCUCUCGGCCCGUCGGGCCGCAGCGCCUUCCAGGAGAUUCUUGAGCUCUCCCUGGAUUCGCCGACCCUCGGUGGUUGAUGGCUCCGGCAUCGUGCGGAGGAGCAUCGCUGCGGCUGACAGGUUCUGACCAACCCCGCUGGAUGCGGGCAGCGGCCUGAGCCUGACAUCGUUGGCGACGCGGUGCCGGAGACCUUGGGGCAGGUGACGUAUUUCUCCGGCCGGGGGUUGGCCCGCCCAUACCUGCCCGACGUCCCAGCGGAUCGUCUCAAGCGCCCCUGUUCCCUCGUCGAGCCUGGCCUGCGCCCCGCGGACUUGCUCGAGCUGUGGGUCGUGACCCCCCGCUGGAACGGGGACCACAGCUAGCUCCCGCGGGAUGUCGGCGUGAGGCACCGGCCUAGGAAAAUCACCGUCCUCCGGCAUGCCAAGAUGGUUGCCUUCGGAGGGAUCCCCUAGCUCGACGUGGAAACAUUCGCGGCUUGGGCCGCAGUCCUCGUCGUCAAGGCUGCGGCUUCCGUCGGAACAGUCGGAGAGGCAGUAGUCACAUGCGGUCAUGAAGUCCCGCAUGGCACUGGGGUUGCCAAGUCCAGAGAAACCCCAACAGAUGCUGGGAUCGUCAUCUUCCUCGGACCCAGAGGGCCCGUAGGUCGAGACGUCCGUCAAUCGGUCCCAAGGCGACCGCAUACGAAACCCCAGUGGGGUUGCACUCGCCUCAAUGAGAGCGCCCGCCAAAGCGAUGUCGCUUGGCGGGUCGAGGCCGAGUCGAAAUGACGUAAGAUGGGAGUUAGUUAGUACCUUUUGGUCGACGCGGAGCGACGUAGUCACAUCGGGGACUCGUUGCACCGUCAUCUCAGGUACGAGGGCGACGUCCUGCAGGCUUUCCGCGAGCGUGCUGGCGUCGUCUUCUUGCUCGGGAUCAGCGUGUCGCGGGGGGACGGCGCUUGCCUUCAUCUCGAACACGAGGUCGACGCCCGGCGUGCCCUCCGUCGGGGCGCUGGGGACGUCGAUUCGCUCGACAGCCGACGAAGCGCGGCCUCCCGCUUGGCCUUGGUUGCCCCGCCUCCUCCUCCAUUGGCGGGGGAGAGGACGGGGCGAGCUCGAAUGUUGUUCUUCCACCGCGCGGGGAAGAUGUCGUCGGUUCCGCCGCCGGCGGGCGGGAUGUCGGCCGCCAUUGUCGUUGUCGCGCGGCGGUGGAAGGAGUAUCAUGUCGUAGCUGCCGUCGAAGGACAUGAACUCAAGACUCCCGAAACGGAGCACCGUCCCGGGCCGGAGGGUUGCUGGAGACUGCCCAUCUGGAGCUUGACGGGAAGCUGUUCGUCAGCACGCAGCAGGCCCCUACCUGGCGCGCCAACUGUCGGCGUUUCGAGACCGGGGGGUCCCCGAGCCGACGAGUGAGUGUGCCGCGUGCCCCAACCCAGAUGGGUUGAGCGCGUGGGCGAGUGCGAAGGGGGGAGAGGCGAGGUGUCCGGAGACGGGCGUGAGAGAGGUGGAGAUCCUGCGGCCUUCGUGUUCGUCCCGCGCCCAGAUCGGGUGCGCUUGCAGUAGGGGGGUUACAAGCGUCCACGCGGGUGAGGGAAGCGAGCGGCCCCAAGAGAGCGCCUGUCCCGUCCUCGUCCCCGCGCGGCCAACCUUCUCUAAGAAGGCCCUGGUCCUUCCUUUUAUAGGCGUAAGGAGAGGAUCCAGGUGUACAAUGGGGGUGUAGCAGAGUGCUACGUGUCUAGCGGAGGGAGAGCUAGCGCCCUAAGUACAUGCCAAUGUGGCAGCCGGAGAGAUCUUGGCACCCUGCUGGCGUGAUGUCGUGGCUGUCGGAGGAGCAACGGAGCCUGGCGGAGGGACAGCUGUCGGAGCGGUCGAGUCCUUGCUGACGUCCCCCUGCUUCCGUAAGAGAGCUGAGAGCCGCCGUCGUCACAGAGCUUGUGGGGCGCCAUCAUUGCCCAUCUGGCGGAGCUAGCCAGAGGGGACAUCGGUCUUGUUCUUCGUGACCCGAGUCGGCUCGGGGUAGGAUGAUGAUGGCGCUUCCCGUUGACGUGGCGGGCCUGUGCCCUAGGUCGGGCGACGUGGGGGCUCCUCCGAAGCCGAGGUCGAAUCUGUCUUCCGUGGCCGAGGCCGAGCCCGAGCCCCUGGGUCGGGCGAGGCGGAGGUCGUUCGGCAGAGGCCAGGGCGGAGUCCGAGCCCUGGGGUCGGGCGAAGCGGAGUUCGUCGUCUUCCGGGUCUCAGCCCGAGUCCGAGCUCUGGGGUCGGGCGGAGCGGAGUUCGUCGUCUUCCGGGUCUUAGCCCGAGUCCGAGCCCUGGGGUCGGGCGGAGCGGAGUUCGCCGUCUUCCGGGUCUUAGCCCGAGUCCGAGCCCUGGGGUCGGGCGGAGCGGAGUUCGCCGUCUUCCGGGCCUUAGCCCGAGUCCGAGCCCUGGGGUCGGGCGGAGCGAAGUUCGCUGUCUUCCGGGUCUUAGCCCGAGUCCGAGCCCUGGGUCGGGCGGAGCGGAGCUUCCUAUGGCGCCUUUGGCAAGGCCUGACUGCCUGUCAGACUCACUCUGUCGAGUGGCACUGCAGUCGGAGUGGCGCAGGCGGCGCUGUCCUUCUGUCAGACCGGUCAGUGGUGCGGCGGAGUGACGGCGGUCACUUCGGCACUGCCGGGGGGCGCGCGUCAGGAUAAAGGUGUCAGGCCACCUUUGCGUUAAAUGCUCCUGCAACUCGGUCAGUCGGUGCGGCGAUUUAGUCAGGGUUGCUUCUUAGCGAAGCCAAGGCCUCGGGCGAGCCGGAGAUGCGUCCGCCGUUAAAAGGGGGGCCUCGGGCGAGACGGAAGUCCCUCGAGGUCGGCUGCCCUUGGCCGAGGCUAGGCUCGGGCGAAGCGUGAUCGAGUCACUCGUAUGGACUGAUCCCUGACUUAAUCGCACCCAUCAGGCCUCUGCAGCUUUAUGCUGAUGGGGGUUACCAGCUGAGAAUUGGGCGUCUUGAGGGUACCCCUAAUUAUGGUCCCCGACAACGAUUGACCCCACCCGCAGCAGCAAUAACACAACUAAAACGUUAUCCGAAGAACCUGCAGGUGGGAUCAAUCCUUAUUUUUUGUGAGGUGCUACGAACAUUCUAAUUUGCAGUCUGCUGCAUUAAAUGUUUUUCCUAGAUUUGGCACAGGGCCUCAAAUUUCUCUGGCCCGACCCUGCUAACAAUAUACUCUAUUAUUAAACUUGCUCUAAGUAAUUAAGGACGACCUGCAUGCGAAGCCGCCGGGCUCUGGAGUAGACGACUGAUCAUGACCCGCAGCCGGUCGGCACAGUGUAACGGGUAAACGAGAACCCUCACAUACAGGUGUACUGGUGUAGUACGUACGUCAGCCCCACGACGACGCACGUUGCGCGGCGAGAGUCUCUCCCGGUUCUCAGUUUACACACGCGUACUGUACCUGUACUGGCAGCAGCAGCACCCAACCUCCCAACGUACGCGUACAUUACGUUUGCGUGAUGUAAUGUACGUACGUCGUGGAAGACGGCUGGGGGCCGAGUUGCCUCACCUAACCCGCGGUCACGAUCGUAUGUGUCGCUGUCUCUCAGUCGUCGUCCUGGCCUGCUUGCUACCCGUCACUCACACGCGCAUCGGCAUCAGCAUCGGCAUUUCUCCUAUAGCUUCGUUCGUUCACGACGACACCGCCAGGUAAUAUAUAUACUGGCUAGCUAGCUAGCUUUCGUGACGAAACUAGCCAGCCAGCUAAAGGAGGGUCAUAACAAGAGAAGGACGGGCGAGAGCGAGCUAGAAGAGCACAACUAGUCUUCUUAUCAUCGUCGUCGUCGGCACACACGCCACAGGAUGACCGUCGUCGUCGACGCCGUCGUCCCCACCGAUGCGGCCGGCGCCCCUGCUGCUGCGGCCGCGGCACCGGCGGUGCGGCCGGGGAACGGGCAGACCGUGUGCGUCACCGGCGCGGCCGGCUACAUCGCCUCGUGGCUGGUCAAGCUGCUGCUCGAGAAGGGGUACACUGUCAAGGGCACCGUCAGGAACCCAGGCACGUAGGCCUUUUAAUCUGGUGUAUAUAUAUGCAUUUAUACAUACAUAUACGACGACGACGACGCGAGCUGAGCGUGGCAGGGAUUAACAACGUUUGUGUCAUUGGUCGCCAUAUGCAUGCACAUGGUGGCACUGGCAGAUGACCCGAAGAGCGCGCACCUCAAGGCGCUGGACGGCGCCGCCGAGCGGCUGGUCCUCUGCAAGGCCGACCUGCUGGACUACGACGCCAUCCGCCGAGCCGUGCACGGCUGCCAGGGCGUCUUCCACACCGCCUCCCCCGUCACCGACGACCCGGUGAGCUAGUGCAUGGCUGCUCCGAUGACCCCCGGCCCCUUUUUGUCGCUAGCUGUGCCACCGUGUGACCUACGCACGCACGCACGCACACAUCAUCGGAUCGACUAACCACUAACCGACGAUGCGUCAUGCAUGCAUGCAUGCAUGCAGGAGCAAAUGGUGGAGCCGGCGGUGCGCGGCACACAGUACGUGGUCAACGCGGCGGCGGAGGCCGGCACGGUGCGGCGGGUGGUGUUCACGUCCUCCAUCGGCGCGGUCACCAUGGACCCCGGCCGCGGGCCCGACGUCGUUGUCGACGAGUCGUGCUGGAGCGACCUCGAGUUCUGCAAGAGAACGAGGGUGAGUGGGCCGGCCCUAGUAGCUUUCGUCUUCUCACGUACUACUACGCAACAACUGCGUUGCGUCACCGUGGCGACGACGACACACCAUUAGUAUUAGUAUUAUUGUUGUUAUUCUUCUUCACUGGACACAGUUUCACCUGCCCACAUCUCUCAUCCGGCCACGCACGCACGACGAGAGAGGAUAUGAUGCUAAUAUAUACGCAUGCAGAACUGGUACUGCUACGGCAAGGCGGUGGCGGAGCAGGCGGCGCGGGACUUGUGCCGGCAGCGCGGGCUGGAGCUGGCGGUGGUGAACCCGGUGCUGGUGGUGGGCCCGCUGCUGCAGCCGGCGGUGAACGCCAGCAUCGGGCACGUGCUCAAGUACCUGGACGGCUCCGCCCGCACCUUCGCCAACGCUGUGCAGGCGUACGUGGACGUGCGCGACGUGGCCGACGCGCACCUCCGCGUCUUCGAGAGCCCCCGCGCGUCCGGCGGCCGCUACCUCUGCGCCGAGUCCGUCCUCCACCGCGAGGACGUCGUCCGCAUCCUCGCCAAGCUCUUCCCCGAGUACCCCGUACCCACAAGGUAUAGCUAGCUACAGGGCAUCUCGAACGGUACCUCAAAAUAAAAUAGGAUUCAACUUAUACAAAAAACAUACAUACGCGUCUCCGAUAUUAUCUUAAACGUGUGUUCUAUUGUAGACUCUUGACCCCUAAAUUAAAACAGCUCCAGCAAUAAUCUAUUUUACACAUAUAUUCUUAUCAAACAAUAUAGGCAUUAUAAUAGAAAGUGACCCAAAUAUACAUACAUACCGGAUUAAUGUCAUAUUCUUAUUUUCUACAUGAUCAUCAACCUUUUUUAAAUAAUAUAGUUUAUUUCCAUAGACAUGCUUAUUUAUAGUUUAACACAGUUGGAAUUGAAUUUAUAUUUAGUAGUAUCCUAAACACUUUAAAAUAUAGCGAGUAGUAUUUUGAUUUGCGGGACACUAUUUUAUGGCACAUGCAUGGUUGAAAUAAUGCUCUUAUAUAUAUGUGUGUCUUCAUGACCUAGCUAGCUAAUACUAAUGUCCAUCCGACCAUCCGUCCGUUCCUCGAUCGGCCUCUCUGUGCUUGUACCGGCCGACCACAUUUUUGUUAAUGGCACACGCGUCUAAUUCCGCACGUAUAUACUAAUGAAUGCGCAUAAAUUAUACCGCCACAUUUUUUUUGUUGAUGGCAUUUAGCGGUUGGCAUGUCCAUCCCAAGCCUAUCUCAGGUCAGCUAGCUAACAAUAACACUAGGUCUAAUACACACAUACACACUGACACACAACUACACAAGUAAUCAAGAGCAGAUAUCUUGUAGGUAUAUUAUAUAUAUCUUCAUGACCUAGCUAAUAAUAUCCGCCCAGCCUUGCUUUGAUCCGUGUUUAUACCGACCACAUUUUCUUGUUUUAACGGCAUUUAGCGGUUGGCAUGUCCAUCCCAAUUAGCCUGUCUCAGGUCAGCUACAACAACACUUGGUCUAUACACAAGCUAGCAAUCAAGAGCAGAUAUGGGAAACAGUUUGAUAUUGGUCACAAAAAUAGCUUGGAGGUAUAUUAUAUAUAUACCUUCAUGACCUAGCUAGCUAAUAAUAAUAUCUUUUUUUAACGGCACUUAGCGGUUGGCAUGUCCAUCAGAAUAAGCCUGUCUCAGCCGGCCAGCUGCAACAACAUCUAUAUAGAUAGAUAGAUAUCAUCGCCUGGUCUGCUUGAGUGUUCCUACCUUUUGUAGGAUGACGUACGUACGGAUGGCCUUGACAUGUACUAGCCGGCGAUGAUCACGACUGGAACCUCACUACAAGAAAACCCACAUUUUUAUCUAUAUUAAGAGUGUCGGUACAGUCAAACCCACACUUUUAUCUAUAUUAAAAGUGUUGGGGCUGAUACCUUCUUCGACGUUUUCUUGUAAUGUCUGCUCUGCCUAGCUGACUGUGCGAGCGUUUGGUGCGUGUGGUGCAGGUGCUCCGACGAGGUGAACCCGCGGAAGCGCCCGUACAGGUUCUCGAACCAGAAGCUCCGGGACCUGGGCUUGGUGUUCCGCCCGGUGAGCCAGUCGCUGUACGACACGGUGAAGAACCUCCAGGAGAAGGGCCACCUAGCGGUGCUGGGAGAGCAAACGACGACGACGACGACGGAGGCCGGCCGCGAGGAGUGCCCCGCCGCCGACCUGCAGCAGCAGGGAGGAAUCGCCAUCCGCGCGUGAGACUGAGAGACAUGCAGGUAUGCAGCAUGGCAAGUACGCGUGUUCGUUCGUACUGCCCAGCGCAUGCCGCGGCCGGCCUGCUGUGUGUAAGCAAACUAGUGUUUUUUUAAUUAAUUAAUUUCUCUGUCUGAUACGUACCUCGGCCCACCCUAAGGCUUGUAACGUCGUGUUCGGUCUUGUGAACUACUCUAGCGAGUGAAUCUCUAUACUAUAUAAGUGUCUAUUGUAGACUUCACAUUAGCUGUGGUGCACGGUUCUGCCCUGAGCGCCCGCCCACCCGUAGCACUCCUUUCCAUCGAUGGCGUCGCUGCGGCAGCCCCGGCAAUCAACUCCCAGAUCCCGUGCUCAUCUCCCCGCGAUCCCCCUCCCCAGCUCUUCCACCCCGAAGCACCACACCUCCCGCCAUGCACUGCAUCGCCCCCCUGCUCCUCCUCCCACUCCCGACCGCCUCCCGUCAUGCGCUAUCGCCAAAACCCAGACGCCACCUCUUCCUCCCCUUCUCCCCUCCCGCGCCUGUAAGUUCCACCUCGCCUCGGCGCGCUCGCCGUCCCGCGCUGCCGCUUCGGUUUUCGGCGACGACGAGGAUGAGGAGGUUGACGUGGAUGACGACGAGGACGACGAGACAACCAUCCGCCACUGGUGCCCUUCCAUCCAUGGCGUCGCCGCGGCCACCCCGCAAUCAACUCCUAGAUCCCGUGCUCCUCGCGAGUUCUGGCUCGCGCCCGCAAUCCGUGCCUCCGCCGCUGCAGCCUUUCCAUCGCACAGCGCCCUUCCAUCCAUGGCUCGCUUCCAGAAAUCACCAUCUCCGGCGUAGCGUCGCAUUCCAAAAUCCACCAUCCUCUGCCGCGAUGGAAGGGAAUCAAUCCGUCGAUGGAAGGAACGCGUGCUUCCCCCUUCCAUCCUCGGCGCUGCGCAAAUUGCGGUGUGGGCGAUGUGGAUCGCCAAAAUCCACUCCUCACUAGCGGCCCCUUCCAUCCUAGGCGCUCUUCCAUAUGUGAAUCAGCCGAGAGCACAAGUCAAGAGCACCAUCUGCUCCCCUUCCACAAGUCGAGAGCACAGGCAAGGCUGCCCCAGUUUCAUCCUCCUCUCGUUUAGUUGAAUCAGCGGGACCUGGAGCAAACGAUCUGGACAGCCCGCAAGUUCGUGUGCUACGUAUGUCUGUGAGUUUGUUGCCGCUGUGGCGUCUCCCUUCCCCUCCCUGAUUCCUCUACCCUGUAGAUCUGGACUACCACCUCAACGACGCACUUGUCACGCUCCUUCGGGCCAAGCCUCGCGAGUUCUGGCUCCGGGGUAGGCGGAACAUUCUCUUGUGCAUUGCUUGCUGAUCGAACCUGCUAAUGCUUGCUGAUGCUUAUCCGCUCAGAAGAAUGUGAGUCGUAGCAUUCCAGCCAAAUUUUGCUUAUCCACUCAGAAGGUUAUAUUAUUUGCUCACACCGCAAUACUUGUCGGGCUCCUGCUUGCUGAUGCUUAUUUGCUUCUCUCUAACUGGAUUUAAAAUGUACUGUCCUAUAUGUUUAGAUGCAGGUCAAGCCUCUUAACAAAUUAGGUUUUUUUGCUGUGUUGUUUAAACUAUUCCAAUUUGUUGUGGCAAUUCAAUUGACACAUCCAGAAAAAAUAUAUCUCUAGCUAUUCGUUAUUUCAUAUUGAAAUGCUUUUAUUUACUAUGUGAGAAAACUAACAUUUCAAUAUUGUCAAAUUUCUUAUAUUAAAUGUCAAGCAUGUGAGUCGUAGCAUUCCAGCCAAAUUCUUAUAUCAUCCCCACUGUCGACCCGACACUCAAUGGUAUAAAUUACACUUGUGUAGUAAAUACCUGUAGAAUUUCAUAAGAGCACAAAUAACAAAUGUGCAUGUGCAUGGCACACACACAUCUUUUUUAAUUGAGCGUGUCUCUAAGGCACUGAUAAGUUCAGGUAAAUGUAGGGUCAGGCCAUACCUUUCGCUUUCGGAUCUGUGUUAUCGUAUUCCGUCUGACUGUCCCUGAAUGAUACACUUGCAUUUUCUUUUGUUAUUAUUCUCAUCUUCUGUGUUUAUGUUUAUUACAUGACACUUUGCAGGAAUAUAAACAUUUUCUAGAGGAAGCUAAGAAACGUGAUCAUAGGAUAUUAGGGAAAGCACAGGAACUCUUCUUUUUCCGUGAACUUAGGUACAUAUUGCUCCUUUAUGUUUCUUCCUUUUCUUGCUUUCAUAUCUCAUGGCAACAUUUCUGGUUAAUGGUGAAUUGCUGGUUGUAUUUAGAAUUGUGCAGCCCUGGAAGCUGCUUCUUCCUUCCACAUGGUAUAUUGUGCUAACUAAGCAUAUCUCUUACAAUUAUUAUUUUAGCUAGCAUAUCUCUUCAUGUACAAAAAUAUGCAAUAUACCAUUCCAACUAAGCAAAUCUCUUGGAAUUAUUAAGCUAAUCAUAGAUUGUGUUAUGGUGAAGGGUUUCUUUUGGCAUAUCAUAUAUAUCUAAGUAUUCGAGUCACUCUUAUUUCUGCAGAUCCUUAAACCAAGGAGCAUAUUAAGAAAUUUCUCUCAAUGGGGCAUGUGUCUUAUGAAGUUCUAUUACAUGUACAUCUCUUAUUCUUAAAUGGUCUUCCAAGAGCAAUCUUUCUGUCUUUUCAUUGUUAUAUGACCCUGCGAACACCAAACUAUUCUGCAGGUUAGAUUUUUAGAUAUAUGGGAACUAGCUGGCUUGCCCACGUUGUGACGACAUGUUAUGCGCUUUCUCCAAUGGCUAUAGGUAUGCACCCUCCUCCCUUUGGAUCAUAUCUAUGGUGUUUCUACCUAUGCAGUGUCUCCCCUUUGAUGUGAAUUUAAUGCCCACUUUAGACCAGCAUGACUAUUGGUUUGAUAAAAGCUUGCAAUCAUCAAGUUUUGAAAUACAUUUUUUGUUUUAGUAGUACUAAUGGAUAAACUAUAAUUUUCAGAAGUAAUGUUUCUUCCUUACAUAUGUUGCUCUGGUCAGUGAUGGCCAGGGACAUACAUGUGUAUUCUUGCUGCAAAAAAAAAACAGGUACGUUUGGAUUUUUGUUGUCCACAAAUAGCAGCAAUUCUAUGCUUUCUUGCUUGAUACAGUGUGGCAGAUGACAGCUUGCUUCUGCUUGUACGGUAAAUGCAAAUAUUUUUUAAAUGAUUGUUUAUUAUCCUCCAAUCAUGAUUUCCUCUAUGUACUGAAAAAGUUGGAGCGGUUGAUGCAAGUUUUGAUUCAAAUAUUCAAAACUACUUGUACGCCAUGCUCCUUAAACUGUUUUGCAAAAUUCAGUUGCAAUAUCUUCCUCAAUUUCAAAUUCAACCAUGUGUCUUGCUGUGUCAGGAUCUGAUUCAGUUCUACUUACUCCAUAUAAAACUGAAUAGAAAUCUACACAUUUUGCAAACAGCAAAAUGCCCCAGUUGUAGGAAUGAGCUGGCCAUAUAGGGUCUGAUUCAGUUGUACUUCUUCUUGAUAAAACUGAAUAGACUAGAGAAUAUCUGAGAACAUGGACUAAUUUGAUUAGCUUGAUGCGUGGGUCAAUGUUUGGUGUCAAACAAUGUAAUCCAUUGCUUUCUGAACCAUAGCAGCAGUGGCCUGAAGUACUAUGUAAUUCAGUUUUAGUGCAGCAACUAUGGAUAAGUACUAUGUGAUUUUGUGAAAUAAAAAAUGAAUAGUAGUUUUGUUUUCUAAAAUGAGCUAAAAGAAAGGACAACAAUUUGUUUGUCUAGGCACCGGUCAACGUUUAAGAUCUAUAGAAAUCAACAAUAUUUCUAACUAUUAAGUGUUAAUUAUCUAAUGUUAUUUCUAACUAUUAAGUGUUAAUUAUCUAAUGUAUUUAAUGAAGUAACACAGUUAGACUUGCCUAAAGAGGCCAGUGAAGCUUCACUUGCUGCAUAGAGAAGUACUUUUUUAUUAUCAUGUAAAUGCAUGGUUCUUUGGAACCAUUUGGCCUAUCUGAUUAAUUAUUACUAUCAGCCAUAUGUGUUUGCAACUGAAUACUUACACUGUUUUUUCUUUUUGAGAGUAGACCACUGGUUCUCUGUAUUUCUGGGUUGCCCAUUUGGCUGGUCCAGUAUGGGUCUGUUGGCAUCUUGGUGCCGCGUUUGGCUGGAGGCCAUCAACCUCAUUGUCGGGAUUGUCACACAGUUACAGAGGUACUCUCUAUUUGUUUAUUACUACUAAUCUAGCCACAUGUUUUAACUAACUGUCUAUAAUAGGCUACAGCCAGUGCAGUGAUCUUUCUCCAUUCUGAAUUUCAUCUAUUCUUUACAGCAAAAGGGAACUCCUAGCUACCCAUUUCCUUACUCUCUGUUCAUAGUUGGGUUUCCUGCAAGAAUCUUCAUCUGCUCUGGUGUGCAUUUUCCAUUUAAUCCUUAAGCCAAAACAAUGGCAACUGAUAACUCUCGAUUUCACUGCUCAUAGAUAAUAAAUCAUACACGUUGUCCAUACAACUCAUAGUAACUCGUAAUGCACCAAAUUAAAUGUUCUAUUUUACCCUGUAAUAUCCUAUUUGAUUAGGUCUUUCAAAAAUUUCAGCUGGAUCCAAAUAAUGCAAACUUAUUGUGCACUUCAGUACUCAGAUGAACUUAAACCAAUCACAUAACUUACUAUGCCUAACUCAUAUUGCCUAUCUCUUUUGCAAUUCCAGGCAUAUGCGGGAUUCCAAGAAUUGCAAAGCAUCAUCCUGCUUUGAGCUAUUCCUCUCUUGGGGCGCCAUGCUCCUGUUCGUUGCCCAGCUUCCAGCUUCAGCUGAUGUUUGGUGCUUGCAUGCAGGUGAUCGGUGGCACCAUCAUUGUUGUGAUGCUCCUGCUGGUGGGACGCAACCGGUGUCGUAGGUGUUCACCCACUUCUAGACAUCGCUCUACAUGAUGGGGUCAGUAGCAAUGCGGUGCCUACGCCGUCAUCAUGUCCUUCCUGGUGAGCCAGUAUUCGCUGUACGUGUACGCGACAACGCAUUGCGCACCUGACGGAGGAGACCAAAGGCGUCGAAAAGAACGACCCCAUCGCCAUCCUCUCCAGCAACGACAUCAUCUCCGUGUUUGGCUGGGCGGACAUCCUGGCCCUCACCUUCAGCAUCCAGGUACUUUGGUGGUGAGGCUGUUGUGCUGGUUCCUCCUCUCAAAACUGUCAUCCAUGUCAGAUUGUUUGUUACUGAAUCUCAAUUUAGGGGGGGAAUACUUUCGCAAUUAUCUGCCCAUGAUAUCAUUAAAUGUUUUUCUAAGAUACUUGUUCUCCACACAAGGCCCUUUUUAUCUGAUACUAAUAUUGUAUCAUCCAAUGCAGGUAAUUUCAAUCUUUUGGAGGAUCAUGCUUUUCUUUUGGAUUUUGUCUUCAACUAUCGUUGUAAGGGUUGUGUUCAAGUUGAGCUGUCCUGAAUUAUUUGGAGCUCAUGGUUCUAUUUUUCUCUUCUUUUUCAGCAUUAACCUUUAGAUUUGUGUAAUAGAUUUCUGCGACAUCAAGAUUGAUACGGGCAACUCCAUUGAUAAGACUGCAUGCUCAAAUAAAGCUUGGACCAUGAAGUGAGAUCGAGCUCAUGGACAAGUAGCGAUCAUCUUUUAUCCAAUCUUAGUGUAUUCCCAAUAGAGCACACGUGAAGAAGAAUAUUUUGUUUGACUAUUGUAAAUGUUUAAGGCAAUGGAAAUUUACAAAUCUUAAAUAGUCAUGGUAUAUGCAUGUUAUUCAAAGGAGACUUCGUUUGAAUUAUAAGACCUUGUGGUAGUUUUUGAAUGUUUGUAUGAGUUUGUAAUUUAUUGUGAUAAUCUUAGCAUUUAAAUGAUGCAGCUGACAUGACAUUUUUAAAAUCAUGUAUAGAAGUCUGCAUGGUACUGUUGGUUGCAAUGCAGUGAUAGCUAGAAUCAUAAAUUAAUUACGAAACAUUUUCACAUAACAGUAUAACACACAUUUGUUCAUAAGUUAUCAUAAUAUUAUAUGUUUUCGUUGCAACGCACGGGCACUCACCUAGUAAUAAAGAUGUUCAUAAUGUUGGUCCAUUUUCCACUUAGAUCCAGAUUUUGGAUCUUGCGUAUUUGCAGAUGAGAGACUUCACCGAUUCUGUUGGGAGUCUUCGUCCUUCGAAGGUCCUCAAAAACGUAAUUUAACAAUGACUUCUAAGCAUGACUUAUGGAGAGAUACCUUCGAACUCAGGAUAAAAGCAUACACGAUGAGAAAAGCAUUACCGUGACGAAGGUCGCCGUUGCUCUGAAGCUGAGAGCAAGGGAGCUUCGGCUCAAUCGCAAAAAAAAGAACCGACUUAAAGGGGAAAAGACUAUCUAGUCCUUAUAGAUUUAUCUAUAAGUCAAUAAUAAAUGUAAAGAGCAUGAAUGUAAUUUCUCAUAUGCUGCGUCAUGUGCCUAUAAAUAGAUGAACAGUACCCCCGUACUGUUCACGCUGUCUUGUACUUGCUUUCUGCGUCACACUUGUAUUCUUUGCCUUCUAUCAAGUCAAAGGUACUUUUGUAAUCUAAUAUUGUUUCUGUCUUUCCAUGAUUAUAUAAUAAGAAUGAAUUGAUAACGUUAUAUGAUUGUUUUAUAUUGUCUCUUAUAUGUCAUAUACUUCUUCUUUUAUUUAACAUAUACUGUGAUGAUGAAGGUAUGUCCUUCAUAACCUUCGUCUGAAGAUCAUUAUAUCCUAAGGGAAAUAAUGUUUCGAAGGACGAAGGGCAUUAACAGUUAAUAUUUUUGUGUUUCCUUGUUCUCAACUCAUAGCACUUGAGAGCAAGUCCCCAACAUUGGCGCCCACCUCCGGUGAACCCUUUUUCCGACCACCUUCGGCAAAGCACUAACCUUCGUCAUGCCGCCGAAGAAAGCUUCAGCGCCAGGGGCUGCUGCACUGCAGCCACUGGACCCGAACCAGGAGACCCUCUCUCUCCGAGAGGCCCGAAGCCAAAAAAGGAAGACCACCAGUCCAACACUCCAGGAGGAGGAGUUGGACCAAGAGAUCAGGGACAUGGAAAUAAUCCAUCAGCAAGUACAAAGGAAGAAGGAGAAGAUGACGCGACUGACUGAUCUUCAAAGGCAGAUCGACGAAGCCACUGAAGAAGUACGUCAUCUUGCUCAAGACGAACAAGAUCGGAGGCCCCAACACAGGGAGCUUCGUCAAGAAGGCUUAUUCAACGAAGAUGGAUGGUAAGAUGAUUUUAAUCAUGAUAUAUUUACCUUUGAUGAUGCUUCUCCCUUGGCAGCAGAACUGCAGGCUAUCCCAUGACCCCCAUCAUACAAGCCACCUCAGCUCCCCAUGUAUGAUGGGCACUCAGAUCCGAAGCAGUUUUUGAUGAGUUAUAAAGCAACUAUAUCUUCGUAUGGAGGCAAUGCAGCUGUCAUGGCCAAGUCCUUCGUCAUGGCAGUUUGGAAUGUGGCCCAAACAUGGUAUUCUUCUCUUCGGUCAGGGACUAUCAAUUCAUGGCAGAAGCUCAAGGAUAUGCUAGUGACAAGUUUCCAAGGCUUUCAGACAAAGCCUGUUGAAAGGGAAAUGUGCCUUUGGGCCAUUUCUAAGUAUUUUGGUGAUUGAGUGCAAACACAAGUGCUUAAAUGUGAAAAUAUGCCCAAGGAUGAUCAAAGUGCAAAUCACAAGUUAAGGUAUGUUUCUAAGCCUUAGUACAUUGGUUUUGUGUACUAAUAUAUUUGUCUAAGUGUUAGAAACAGAUAGAAGAAGAGAAGAGAAGACUUGGCUGUGUACAGCCAAGGGGCUGCUUCGGUCUGGGGCACCGGACUGUCCGGUGGUGCACCGGACAGUGUCCGGUGCGCCAGGCUGCCUCGGCCGAAGAGGCCGCUCUCGGGUUUUUCUCCGGCGACUUCGGCUAAAAUUCACCGGACUGUCCGGUGUGCACCGGACUGUCCGGUGAGCCAACGGUCGGCCGGGCCAACGGUCGGCCGCGCGAUCGGCGCGCGACACGUGGCCGAGCCAACGGUCGGAAGGAAGCACCGGACUGUCCGGUGUGCACCGGACUGUCCGGUGCGCCAGAUCUGCAACGGUCGGCAACGGUUGGCUUCGCUUUUUAUGGAAACAAAUCGGGCACCGGACAGUGUCCGGUGUGCACCGGACUGUCCGGUGCGCCACGAGACAGAAGGCAAAGAUGGCCUUCCAGAUUUGUUCCCAACGGCUCCUAGCUGCCUUGGGGCUAUAAAAGGGACCCCUUGGCGCAUGGAGGAGCACACCAAGCAUUCCUUAAGCACUCUUGAUCACUCACACAUCAAUCUCGCGCACUUGUUCGACAUUCUAGUGAUUUGAGCUCCGUUCUAGUGUGCUAGUCUUUUGAGCUCAAGUCUGGGUCUUGUGUGUGCGUAUUCGCUGUGAUCUUUGUGUCGUGUGUGAGUUGCUAAUCCCUCCCUUGCUCUGUGAUUCUCUGUGAACAUCUUUUGUAAGGGCGAGAGGCUCCAAGUUGUGGAGAUUCCUCGCAAACGGGAUUGAGAAAAGAAAAGCAAGAACACCGUGGUAUUCAAGUUGAUCAUUGGAUCACUUGAGAGGAGUUGAGUGCAACUCUCGUCCGUUGGGACGCCACAACGUGGAGUAGGCAAGUUUUGUACUUGGCCGAACCACGGGAUAACCACUGUGUCAUCUCUGUGAUUGGAUUCUUGUGGUUAUUGUGUUUUGACUCCUCUCUAGCCACUUGGCAUAAACUGUGCUAACACCUAAUCAAGUUUUGUGGCUAUAAGUUUAAGUUUUUACAGGAUCACCUAUUCACCCCCCCCUCUAGGUGCUCUCAAUUGGUAUCGGAGCCGUUCUCUUCACAAAGGGACUUACCGCCCGAAGAGAUGGAUCCUAAGGGGAAAGGAAUUGUGAUCAACGACAAGGAGAAGGAGUCCUUCGUCAACGAGCCAAGGGAUGACAAGUCCAACAACUCGGGCUCGGGACACAAGCGAAAAGAUGGGAAGAAGAAGAAGACAAGACGCAUCAAGGAGAUCGUCUACUACGACAGCGAUGAGUCCUCUUCUUCCCAAAAGGACGACGACUACGACAAACAAAGGAAACCGGUUAAUUCUAACUUUUCUUUUGACUACUCUCGUAUUCCGCAUAGUUCAAAUUCACAUUUGCUUUCCAUUCCACUCGGCAAGCCCCCACACUUUGAUGGGGAGGACUACGGAUUUUGGAGCCACAAAAUGCGUAGUCACCUAUUCUCUCUCCAUCCUAGCAUAUGGGAGAUUGUAGAUAGUGGAAUGCACUUUAAUAGUUCGGAUAGUCCUAUAUUCAUUAAUGAGCAAAUCCAUAAGAAUGCACAAGCUACUACUGUUCUUCUAGCCUCAUUGUGCAGGGAUGAAUAUAAUAAAGUGAGUGGCUUGGAUAACGCCAAGCAAAUCUGGGAUACCCUCAAGAUCUCUCAUGAGGGAAAUGACGCUACCUUGCUCACCAAAAUGGAGUUGGUGGAGGGCGAGCUUGGACGGUUCGCGAUGAUAAGGGGCGAGGAGCCAACUCAAACAUACAACCGGCUCAAGACCCUUGUCAACAAAAUAAGGAGCUACGGAAGCACGCGAUGGACGGACCACGACGUCGUCCGACUAAUGCUCAGGUCCUUUACCGUUCUUGAUCCUCAUUUGGUGAAUAAUAUUCGUGAGAAUCCCAGGUACACCAAAAUGUCGCCCGAAGAAGUACUAGGAAAAUUCGUCAGCGGGCGAAUGAUGAUCAAGGAGGCAAGGUAUGUGGACGACGCCUUGAAUGGACCGAUCAACGAGCCGCAACCUUUUGCUCUCAAAGCCACAGGGAACAAGGAGGCGCUACCCAGCAAGGUGGCGCAAAUUGAGGCGGCCGGUCUUAAUGAAGAAGAAAUGGCCCUCAUUAUCAAGAGAUUCAAGACGGUGCUAAAGGGUCGCAAUGGACAGCCGAGCAAGACUAAGACCAAGGGGAAGCGAUCAUGCUUCAAAUGCGGUAAGCUUGGUCAUUUUAUUGCUAACUGUCCUGAUAAUGAUAGUGACCAGGAAAAGGGGAACAAGAGGGAAAAGAAGAAGCAUUACAAGAAGGCAAAGGGCGAGGCGCAUCUAGGCAAGGAGUGGGACUCGGAUUGCUCCUCGUCCGACUCCGACAAUGAAGGACUCGCCGCCACCGCCUUCAACAAAUCAACCCUCUUCCCCAACGAGCGUCACACAUGCCUUAUGGCAAGAGAGAAGAAGGUAUGUACUCGCAACUCUACCUAUGCUUCUUCAAGUGAGGACGAAUCUAGUGAUGAGGAUGAAGUAGAUUAUUCAUGUUUGUUCAAGGGCUUAGAUAGAUCUAAGAUAGACAAAAUUAAUGAAUUAAUUGAUGCCUUGAAUGAAAAGAAUAUACUUUUAGAAAAGCAAGAGGAUUUGUUGUAUGAAGAGCAUGAUAAAUUUGUUGAGGCACAAAAAUCCUAUGCUUUAGAAGUUAAGAGAAAUGAAAUGCUUUCUUUUGAACUAUCUACUUGUCAUGAAACCAUUUCUACUUUGAAAGGUGUCAACAAUGAUUUAAAUGCUAAAUUAGAAGUAGCAAACAAAUCCAAUUCUUGUGUAGAACAUGUUGAAAUUUGUACUAGGUGUAAAGACUUUGACAUUAAUGCUUGUAGUGAACACCUAGUUUCAAUUUCCAAGCUUAAUGAUGAACUGGCUAGUCUUAAUGCUCAACUUAAGACUAGCAAGAAUGAUUUCGAUAAGCUAAAAUUUGCAAGGGAUGCCUACACAAUUGGUAGACACCCCUCAAUUAAGGAUGGACUUGGCUUCAAGAGAGAAGCUAAGAACUUAACAAGCCAUAAUGCUCCCAUUCCCGCCAAGGAGAAAGGGAAGGCCCCUAUGGCUACUAGUGCUAAAAGGAACCAUGCAUUUUUGUAUCAUGAUAGAAGACAAACUAGAAAUGUAAGUCAUGAUGCUUAUGAUUCAUAUGUUUAUGAUUCUCAUGCCAUGUUUGCUCCUAGUUCCUCUUAUGUGUAUGAUAGAAAUGUUACUAGGAGAAAUGUUGUUCCUAAAAGAAAUGCUAUUCAUCAUGUGCCUAGAAGGAAUGUUAUUCAUGCUCCUAGGAAAAUAGCAAAUGAACCUUCUACAAUUUAUUGUGCUUUGAAUGCUUCAUUUGCAAUUUGUAGAAAGGAUAGAAAAGUAAUUGCUAGGAAGUUAGGGGCAAAAUGCAAAGGUGAUAAAACUUGCAUUUGGGUCCCUAAGGAAAUCGUGACUAACCUUGUAGGACCCAACAAGAGUUGGGUACCUAAGUCCCAAGCCUAAAUUUGCCUUGCAGGUUUAUGCAUCCGGGGGUUCAAGCUGGAUUAUCGACAGCGGAUGCACAAACCAUAUGACGGGGGAAAAGAAGAUGUUCACCUCCUACGUCAAAAAUAAGGAUUCCCAAGAUUCAAUUGUAUUCGGUGAUGGGAAUCAAGGCAAGGUAAAAGGGUUAGGUAAAAUUGCGAUUUCUAAUGAGCAUUCUAUCUCUAAUGUAUUUUUAGUAGAGAGUCUUGGAUAUAAUUUGCUAUCUGUUAGUCAAUUAUGUCAUAUGGGGUAUAACUGUCUAUUUACAAACGUAGAUGUGUCUGUCUUUAGAAGGAGUGAUGGUUCACUAGCUUUUAAGGGUGUAUUAGACGGCAAACUUUAUUUAGUUGAUUUUGCAAAAGAAGAGGCCGGUCUAGAUGCAUGCUUAAUAGCUAAGACUAGCAUGGGCUGGCUGUGGCAUCGCCGCUUAGCACAUGUGGGGAUGAAGAACCUUCACAAGCUUCUAAAGGGAGAACACGUGAUAGGUUUGACUAACGUUCAAUUCGAAAAAGAUAGACCCUGUGCAGCUUGUCAAGCAGGGAAACAGGUGGGAGGAGCACAUCACAGCAAGAAUGUGAUGACCACUUCAAGACCCCUGGAGCUGCUGCAUAUGGACCUCUUCGGACCCGUCGCCUAUCUAAGCAUAGGGGGAAGUAAGUAUGGUUUAGUUAUUGUUGAUGAUUUUUCCCGCUUCACUUGGGUGUUCUUUUUGCAGGAUAAGUCUGAAACCCAAGGGACCCUCAAGCGCUUCCUCAGGAGAGCUCAAAAUGAGUUUGAGCUCAAAGUGAAAAAGAUAAGGAGCGACAACGGGUCCGAGUUCAAGAACCUUCAAGUGGAGGAGUUCCUUGAAGAGGAAGGGAUCAAGCACGAGUUCUCCGCUCCCUACACACCACAGCAAAAUGGUGUGGUAGAGAGGAAGAACAGGACGCUCAUUGACAUGGCGAGGACGAUGCUAGGAGAGUUCAAGACCCCCGAGUGCUUUUGGACGGAAGCCGUGAACACGGCUUGCCACGCCAUCAACAGGGUCUACCUUCAUCGCCUCCUCAAGAAGACGUCAUAUGAGCUACUAACCGGUAACAAACCCAAUGUAUCGUACUUUCGUGUAUUUGGGAGUAAAUGCUACAUUCUAGUAAAGAAGGGUAGAAAUUCUAAGUUUGCUCCCAAAGCUGUAGAAGGGUUUUUGUUAGGUUAUGACUCAAAUACAAAGGCGUAUAGAGUCUUCAACAAAUCAUCGGGUUUGGUUGAAGUCUCUAGCAACGUUGUAUUUGAUGAGACUAAUGGCUCUUCAAGAGAGCAAGUUGUUGAUUGUGAUGAUGUAGAUGAAGAAGAUGUUCCGACAGCCGCUAUACGAACCAUGGCGAUUGGAGAAGUGCGGCCACAGGAACAAGAUGAGCAAGAUCAACCCUCUUCCUCAAUUAUGGUGCAUCCCCCGACUCAAGACGAUGAACAGGUUCAUCAUAAGGAGGCGUGUGAUCAAGGGGGAGCACAAGAUGAUAACGUAAUGGAGGAAGAAGCGCAACCGGCACCUCCAACCCAAGUUCGAGCGAUGAUUCAAAGGGAUCAUCCCGUCGACCAAAUUCUGGGUGACAUUAGCAAGGGAGUAACUACUCGAUCUCGAUUAGUUAAUUUUUGUGAGCAUUACUCCUUUGUCUCUUCUAUUGAGCCUUUCAGGGUAGAAGAGGCCUUGCUAGAUCCAGACUGGGUGUUGGCCAUGCAAGAGGAGUUAAACAACUUCAAGCGCAAUGAAGUUUGGACACUGGUGCCUCGUCCGAAGCAAAAUGUUGUGGGAACCAAGUGGGUGUUCCGCAACAAACAGGACGAGCACGGGGUGGUGACGAGGAACAAGGCUCGACUUGUGGCAAAAGGUUAUGCCCAAGUCGCAGGUUUGGAUUUCGAGGAGACCUUUGCUCCUGUGGCUAGGCUAGAGUCAAUUCGAAUCUUGCUAGCAUAUGCCGCUCACCAUUCUUUCAGGUUGUUUCAAAUGGAUGUGAAGAGCGCUUUCCUCAACGGGCCAAUCAAGGAGGAGGUGUACGUGGAGCAACCCCCUGGCUUCGAGGAUGAACGGUACCCCGACCAUGUGUGUAAGCUCUCUAAGGCGCUCUAUGGACUUAAGCAAGCCCCAAGAGCAUGGUAUGAAUGCCUUAGAGACUUUUUAAUUGCUAAUGCUUUCAAGGUUGGGAAAGCCGAUCCAACUCUUUUUACAAAGACAUGUGAUGGUGAUUUGUUUGUGUGCCAAAUUUAUGUCGAUGACAUAAUAUUUGGUUCUACUAACCAAAAGUCUUGUGAAGAGUUUAGCAGGGUGAUGACGCAGAAAUUCGAGAUGUCGAUGAUGGGCGAGUUGAACUACUUCCUUGGGUUCCAAGUGAAGCAACUCAAGGACGGCACCUUCAUCUCCCAAACGAAGUACACGCAAGAUCUGCUAAAGCGGUUUGGGAUGAAGGACGCCAAGCCCGCAAAGACUCCGAUGGGGACCGACGGACACACCGACCUCAACAAAGGAGGUAAGUCCGUUGAUCAAAAAGCAUACCGGUCAAUGAUAGGUUCUUUGCUUUACUUAUGUGCUAGUAGACCGGAUAUUAUGCUUAGCGUAUGCAUGUGUGCUAGAUUUCAAUCCGAUCCUAAGGAAUGUCACUUAGUGGCGGUGAAGCGAAUUCUUAGAUAUUUAGUUGCUACGCCUUGCUUCGGACUCUGGUAUCCAAAGGGGUCUACCUUUGACUUAGUUGGAUACUCAGACUCCGACUAUGCUGGAUGUAAGGUCGAUAGGAAGAGUACAUCGGGGACGUGCCAAUUCUUAGGAAGGUCCCUGGUGUCAUGGAACUCUAAGAAACAAACCUCCGUUGCCCUAUCCACCGCUGAGGCCGAGUAUGUUGCCGCAGGACAGUGUUGCGCGCAACUACUUUGGAUGAGGCAAACCCUCAGGGACUUUGGCUACAAUCUGAGCAAAGUCCCACUCCUAUGUGACAAUGAGAGUGCUAUCCGCAUGGCGGAAAAUCCUGUUGAACACAGCCGCACAAAGCACAUAGACAUCCGGCAUCACUUUUUGAGAGACCACCAGCAAAAGGGAGAUAUCGAAGUGUUUCAUGUUAGCACCGAGAACCAGCUAGCCGAUAUCUUUACCAAGCCUCUAGAUGAGAAGACCUUUUGCAGGCUGCGUAGUGAGCUAAAUGUCUUAGAUUCGCGGAACUUGGAUUGAAUUGUAGCAUACAUGUGUUUAUGCAUUUGAUCAGGUUCAUUCUGCAUUUUGUUGCUUAUUGUGGUGCUCAAGUUGUACCAACACUCCCUGGACCUCACAAGUCCGUUGCAAAGUGAUGCACAUGUUUAGGGGGAGAUGUGUUACAACUUGACCCUUUGAGACUAACCAUUUGCUUGAGUUUGCUUGAUUUAGUCUCGAAGGAGGAUUGAAAGGGAAAAGGUGGACUUGGACCAUGAAAGACUUCCACUGCACUCCGAUGAGAGGGUAACUAAUUCCAAGUUCAUCUCAUGAAAUCUUAUUGCCAUUUGCUCUUAAUUGAAGACUUUGGUGAGGCAAUGGGGUUAAAAGGCCAAGAUUGAUCCCGUUUUGGUGCUUGAUGCCAAAGGGGGAGAAAAUAAAGGCCAAAGCGAUAAAUGGAUCAGCUACCACUUGAGAGAUUUUGAAAAUAGUAGGAUAGAGUUUUUGUUUUGUCAAAAGCUUUUAUUGUCUCUUAUUGUCUCUAUUGUCAAAAGUUGGCUUCUUGUGGGGAGAAGUAUUGAGUAUGGGAAAUAGGGGGAGUUUUUGAAAUCUUUGAUCAAUCUCUUUUGGAAUGACUCUCUUUAUACUUCAACAUAUGUGUUUGACUUAGAGAUAGAGAUUUGAGUUUGAUUUGCAAAAACAAACCAAGUGGUGGCAAAGGAUGAUCCAUAUAUGUCAAAAUUGAAUAAAACCAAUUUGAGUUUUUAUUUGAAGUGAUUUUGCACUUGUGCUAUCUACUUUAUGUUGUGUUGGCAUAAAUCACCAAAAAGGGGGAGAUUGAAAGGGAAAUGUGCCUUUGGGCCAUUUCUAAGUAUUUUGGUGAUUGAGUGCAAACACAAGUGCUUAAAUGUGAAAAUAUGCCCAAGGAUGAUCAAAGUGCAAAUCACAAGUUAAGGUAUGUUUCUAAGCCUUAGUACAUUGGUUUUGUGUACUAAUAUAUUUGUCUAAGUGUUAGAAACAGAUAGAAGAAGAGAAGAGAAGACUUGGCUGUGUACAGCCAAGGGGCUGCUUCGGUCUGGGGCACCGGACUGUCCGGUGGUGCACCGGACAGUGUCCGGUGGUGCACCGGACAGUGUCCGGUGCGCCAGGCUGCCUCGGCCGAAGAGGCCGCUCUCGGGUUUUUCUCCGGCGACUUCGGCUAAAAUUCACCGGACUGUCCGGUGUGCACCGGACUGUCCGGUGAGCCAACGGUCGGCCGGGCCAACGGUCGGCCGCGCGAUCGGCGCGCGACACGUGGCCGAGCCAACGGUCGGAAGGAAGCACCGGACUGUCCGGUGUGCACCGGACUGUCCGGUGUGCACCGGACUGUCCGGUGCGCCAGAUCUGCAACGGUCGGCAACGGUUGGCUUCGCUUUUUAUGGAAACAAAUCGGGCACCGGACAGUGUCCGGUGUGCACCGGACUGUCCGGUGCGCCACGAGACAGAAGGCAAAGAUGGCCUUCCAGAUUUGUUCCCAACGGCUCCUAGCUGCCUUGGGGCUAUAAAAGGGACCCCUUGGCGCAUGGAGGAGCACACCAAGCAUUCCUUAAGCACUCUUGAUCACUCACACAUCAAUCUCGCGCACUUGUUCGACAUUCUAGUGAUUUGAGCUCCGUUCUAGUGUGCUAGUCUUUUGAGCUCAAGUCUGGGUCUUGUGUGUGCGUAUUCGCUGUGAUCUUUGUGUCGUGUGUGAGUUGCUAAUCCCUCCCUUGCUCUGUGAUUCUCUGUGAACAUCUUUUGUAAGGGCGAGAGGCUCCAAGUUGUGGAGAUUCCUCGCAAACGGGAUUGAGAAAAGAAAAGCAAGAACACCGUGGUAUUCAAGUUGAUCAUUGGAUCACUUGAGAGGAGUUGAGUGCAACUCUCGUCCGUUGGGACGCCACAACGUGGAGUAGGCAAGUUUUGUACUUGGCCGAACCACGGGAUAACCACUGUGUCAUCUCUGUGAUUGGAUUCUUGUGGUUAUUGUGUUUUGACUCCUCUCUAGCCACUUGGCAUAAACUGUGCUAACACCUAAUCAAGUUUUGUGGCUAUAAGUUUAAGUUUUUACAGGAUCACCUAUUCACCCCCCCCCCUCUAGGUGCUCUCACCUGUCACAGCUCAGGCCCUGUUCCAAUGCACGCAAGAUCAUGAGGAAUACCUCCAGGCGUAUGUUCGAAGGUUCUUGCGACUGAGGGCACAAGCGCCUACAGUGCCCAAUGAGAUUUUCAUUGAGGCCAUGAUUAAGGGCCUCCAGCCAGGACCUACAGCUCAGUACUUCGCAAGGAAGCCCCCGCAAACCCUGGAGAAGCUGCUUUAGAAGAUGGAUGAGUACAUCCGAGCUGACAACGACUUCCGCCAAAGAAGGGAGGAAGCUUACAGAUUUUCAGAAAUGACCAGGGGCUUUGGAGGAAGAGUCCAUCCGAGGCACGUCAGGUCAAUCCAUAACUCCACUCAAAGUGAUGACAAAGGAAGUCAGUCUCAGAGGUCACAAUAUGCCUCACAAUCUUCGGGGCAACAACAAAGCUCCUUCAGGCCACCAGCUCCAAGGGGCAGAGGUGUUAGGGGCUUCGGAGGAAGGUUUGAAGAUCAACCUAGAAAGAUUUACUGCUUAUUCUGUGGUGAGGACAAGGGCCAUACUACAAGAAUAUGCCAUGUCACCAUUCAGAAACAAAAGGAAAUAGCAGAAGCCGAAGCUCGGUAGAACCAGCCGAAGCAGGUCUUACACACUGCUUCGUGUCACUCUCCUUACAUACCAGAGUAUGUGAACAAUCAUCAUGCAGCUUCUGUCGCUUCGGCUAGCCAUUCACAGGCUUCCUGGCCACAACUCCCGCCUCCGCCACCACUACAACCGACCUAUUCCCGAAGCCAGCAGCCAGAAGGGCGCCAGUACUCUCAACAACAACGAGAAUUCAGGGAGGAAUCUGAAGCUCGCACAAUCAACAGUACUGUGCUAGAAUCAAAACACAUCUAUUGAGAGAUAUCCUACCUCUGAAACAUUUUUACGUUCAUUGUCAUUUUGUUUUUAAUAAGGAACAAUCAAUGUAAACUUAGUUUUAAUUUCUUGUAAUAGCUUCGCUCUUGUCAGAAUGAAAUAUAUCUUCUUCACAAUCUCACGAAGCUCAAAAAUUGCUGAAGCUCAAAAGACGUUCCUAAGGGAAUGCAGAGCUAAAAAUCGCGUUGCAAGUUUCACCGAAGCUACAAAAAGUCGUUCCUAAGGAGCACAACGUAAGUUUGCCGAAGCUACAAAAAGUCGUUCCUAAGGGAGCACAGUGUAAGUUUUCUACUCAAAAGUCGUUCCAAAGGGAAUGCAGAGCCAAAUACCACCAAAAUAUAAGGCGAAGCGCAAAAAGUCAACGUGAAUACCGCCGAAAUAAAAGACGAAGAAGUUCAAAAGACAUUCCUAAGGGGAUGCAGAACUUACACCGAAAAAUAAGCGGUGAAGACGAAAAAUAAGCGGCAAAGAUAUUUUGAUCGUUCCUAAGGGGACGCAGAGAUUGUGUUUUAGUAUGGGUGUGUGUCUUCGGCAUUAGCAUCAUUAUUUGCAUCAUAUCAUCGCAUCAUAUCUGUUGGGACCAUGCUUCGUCGCCGAAGGUCCUGCAAAAAGAAACAGCUUCAGCUGAACCUGCUUGAACAUGAUGCCAAAGACACCGUUCACAAAGCUUCGGAACUACAGCAUAUCCGAAGACGAAGGGUCGAACCGACUUAGAGAUAAAAUGACCUUUUAGCCUUUAAAGGUCUGAGUCAUUGUUGUAAACUUUUAUGAGGGGCAUAAUUGUAAUUUCUCAUGAGCUGUGUCCUAUGCCUAUAAAUAGUGAACAAUAUUCCUUUACUAGUUCACGCAUUCCUGUAAUUGCUAACGCAUCACUCGGGAAUUAUUGCUUGUCAAGGCAAAGGUAUAAAUGUACCUAAACGUCGUAUUCAAAUAUCUUAAAUUCAUAUAAUAAGAUAUGUGAAUGAUGUCAUUUAUUCUCAAUAUAUUUAUCUUUAAUGUUCCAUGUUUAACUUUACUUUGUAUUAUCCUUAUAAAUUUAAUUACGAAGGUGAAACCUUCGUAAUUUUAUGUUCGUGACCUUCGUCCGAAGUUCAUUAAAUCCUUGUGGAGAUAAUGCUUCGGCGGACGAAGGGCAUUGAUAUUUAACAUUUUAUGUUGCCUUGUUCUUAAUUCAUAGCAUUUGAGAACAAGUCCCCAACAUUGGCGCCCACCUCCGGUGAACUCACUUCCACUUUUUUGAGCUGAUGGCUUCGGUCAACAAUCAAGCUGGAACUGCUUCGGCUCCGAAGCUGGUACUCCCGAUAACAGGCGGUUCAUGCUCAGAGCCAGCCAACAAGAAGCAGAAGAAAGAGGCACAGAGAAGGGUACAUCAUGUCGGGGUGCAAGGACCCUUCAUCAAGUCAAGAUGGUCUCACAUUCCAAUUACCUUCUCUCAAGAGGAUCUUCAACUCAAGGAUUACCCACACAACGAUGCUAUGGUUAUCUCUUGUAUGAUCAAAGGAUUCCUGGUCCAUAAUGUUUUGGUUGAUACAGGCAGCGCAGCUGAUAUCAUAUUUGCUAAGGCCUUCAGACAGAUGCAAGAGCCCGAGGACAAAAUCCAUGAUGCCACACAUCCCCUUUGUGGCUUCGGAGGAAGACAGAUCGUAGCACAUGGAAAAAUCACAAUGCCAGUAACCUUCGGAUUCAUUAACAACACAAGGACUGAACAAAUUGUAUUUGAUAUUGUUGACAUGGAAUACCCUUACAAUGCAAUCAUUGGUCGUGGUACUCUCAAUGCCUUCGAAGCAAUUCUUCAUCCAGCUUAUCUUUGCAUGAAGAUACCUUCGGACCAAGGGCCCAUUGCUAUUCAUGGAAGUCAGGAAGCUGCCAGAAGGGCCGAAGGAAAUUGGACAGAUUCAAAAGCAAUCCAUAAUAUAGAUGGAGCUGAAGCUUGUGAGCAAUACAAGUUCAGAAGGGAAAAAGCUGCUUCGGCUGAUCAGCCGAAGCCCAUGCUCUUGUGUGAGGAUAUAGCAGAGAAGAAGGUGCUCUUGGGAUCUCAACUGUCCGAAGAGCAGGAGAAAACCUUGAUAAGGUUUUUGUUCAACAACAAAGAUGUUUUUUCUUGGUCAGCUAAUGAUCUCUGCGGAGUCAACAGGGAUGUUAUUGAACACUCGCUCAAUGUUGAUCCAUCCUUCAGACCCAGAAAGCAGAGGCUUCGGAAGAUGUUUGAUGACAAGGCCGAAGGUGCUCGGAAUGAAGUGAAAAGACUCCUCAGUGCCGGAGUUAUCAGAGAGGUAAAAUACCUAGAAUGGUUGACUAACACUGUUAUGGUAAAGAAGGCCAAUGGUAAAUGGAGAAUGUGUAUCGAUUUUACUGAUCUCAAUAAGGCCUGUCCGAAGAACGAGUUUCCAUUGCCAAGGAUAGAUUCCUUAGUCGAUGCAGCAGCUUCAUCAGAGCUUAUGAGUCUACUAGAUUGCUAUUCAUGCUAUCACCAAAUCUGGAUGAAGAAGGAGGAUGAACCGAAAACUAGCUUCAUAACCCCCAGUGGAACAUAUUGUUACCUUCGGAUGCCCGAGGGGCUUAAGAAUGCUGGAGGAAGUUUCAGCAGAAUGACAGCGAAGGUCCUCCAUUCUCAGAUAGGCAGGAAUGUGCUAACUUAUGUUGAUGAUAUCAUUGUAAAAAGCACGAAGCAAGAUAAUCACAUUGCUGAUCUGCAGGAGACCUUCGCUAAUUUCAGACAGGCUGGUUUAAAGCUGAAUCCAGAAAAAUGUGUCUUCGGAGUGAAGAAGGGGAAAUUUCUUGGUUGCCUAGUUUCAACAUAGGGAAUUGAGGCUAAUCCAAGCAAAAUCGAAGCUAUACUUCGAAUGGAACCACCAAGUACAAAGAAGGGGGCUCAAAGAUUGACAGGAAGACUGGCAUCUCUCAACAGAUUCAUAUCUAGAUCAGCAGAGAGAAAUUUACCAUUUUUCGAAGUGCUGAAGUCAGCUGAAGUUUUUCAAUGGGGACCAGUCCAGCAGAGAGCCUUCGAAGAACUGAAGCAAUAUUUGAUAGAUCUAACAACACUAACUCCACCAACGCCAGGGGCUCCUUUGUUAUUAUAUGUGGCAGCUUCGCACUCAGCGGUAAGUGCAGCACUUGUCCAAGAGAAGCUUGAAGGUCAAGUCAAGAAGCAAGCCCCAAUAUAUUUUGUAUCUGAAGUUCUUAGUUUAUCAAAGAAAAAUUAUACAGAAUUGGAGAAAGUACUGUAUGUUGUUUUGAUGGCCUCCGGGAAGCUUCGGCAUUAUUUUCAAGCUUACAACAUAAUUGUUCCUUCUUCACAACCUUUGAAGGAUAUUAUGAGAAACCGAGAAGCUACUGGAAGGAUUGGAAAAUGGGCUGCAGAGCUCAAUGAAUUUUGUAUUGAUUAUGUCCACAGAUCUUCGAAUCAGUCUCAAGCGUUGGUAGACUUCAUUGCUGACUGGACGCCAGGGGCUCAGGAGGAAGAAACGAAUAAAGAUGCCGAAGCAUGGACAGUGUUUUGCGAUGGGUCUUGGGGAACCUUCGGAGCAGGAGCAGCUGCUGUGUUGGUUUCACCUUCCAAGGUUAAAACUUGUUAUGCGGCAAGACUUGAUUUCAGUUGUACAAACAAUAUUGCUGAAUACGAAGCCCUGCUCUUGGGUCUUCGGAAGUUAAAGGCAAUGGGGAUCAAAAGGGCCAUUCUAAAAACUGAUUCCCAAGUUAUUUCUGGUCAUGUUGACAAGAGCUAUAAAGCAAGAGAUCCGAAGCUUGAAAAAUAUCUAGAUACAGUCCGAAGGAUCGAGGCUUCCUUUGAAGGAUUCUCUGUUAGAAAUAUUCCUCGUGGAGAAAAUGAAUAUGCUGAUCUAUUGGCCAAGUCAGCAGCACAGGGGCUGCCUUUACCUUCGGAAGUAUUUUUCGAAACAAUAAAAGCACCUUCGGUCGAGCUUCUUGAAAGAGCGGUCCUCAAUAUAUCCCCUGUCUAUAGUGAAGAUUGGAGAACUGAAAUCAUCUCUUUCCUUCAGGGUAAUUUUCUUUCAGACGACGAAGCUUACAACAAAAGAAUAGAAGCAAGAGCUCGACCAUAUGUCAUAAUAGAAGGGGAGUUGUACAAGCGUGGGUUCUGCUCCCCGUUGCUCAAGUGUUUAUCCAGAUCCGAAGGUAUAGAAUUAAUGAAGGAAAUACACGCAGGCCUGUGUGGAUCUCACAUUGGAUCUAGGCCUUUGCUUGGGAAAGUUUUUCGUCAAGGAUUUUAUUGGCCAAAGGCAGCUUCGGAUGCAGCGGAUUUAGUCCAAAAGUGCGAAGGUUGUCAGAAAUGUGCAAGAGAUCAAAAACAACCUUCGUCUUUAACUCAAUUAAUACAACCCACUUGGCCGUUGCAAAGGUGGGGUCUUGACUUACUAGGUCCAUUACCACCAGCACAGGGAAACUUGAGAUAUGUUGUAGUGGCAGUGGAAUAUUUUUCCAAGUGGAUUGAGGCAAAGCCGCUAGCCACAAUAACUUCGGUUACUAUUCAAAAAAUUUUCUGGCAAAAUAUUGUUUGUCGCUUCGGAGUGACGAAGGCCAUUACUGUGGAUAAUGGGACACAGUUUGAUUCUGAAGCUUUCAGAUAAUUUUGUGAUCAAAUUGGCACGAAAAUCCAUUUUGCAUCAGUUCGACAUCCGGAGUCAAAUGGACUUGUCGAACGAGCUAACGGGAUCAUAAUGACAGGAAUAAUGAAGUCAAUCUUCAAUCAGCCCAGGGGAAAGUGGCCAGACGAGUUAAUUAAAGUGGUGUGGAGCCAUAACACAACCAUGUCAAGAUCAACAGGUUUUACACCUUUCAAACUAUUGUUUGGGGAUGAAGCAAUAACCCCGGAAGAGGCCAAAGCAGGAUUAAUAAGAACGGUAACUUCGGCAGAAGGUGAAGACGAAGCUGAUUGCUCUGUGGAAAAAGAUGCUAUAGAAGGGAUCAGACUUCAGGCUGUGGAAAACAUCAAUAAAUAUCAAGCCGAAACAAUAAAAUGGCGUGACAGAAAGGUUAAGCUGAAGAACAUUGAACCAGGACAUCUGGUGCUUCGAAGAGUAGCUAACCCUGAGACAGUGGGCAAGUUACAGUUGAAGUGGGAAGGACCUUUUUUGGUAGUGUCUUCGUCAAGACCCGGUUCCUAUAGAUUGAAGGAUAUGGACGACAACGACAUCCCUAGGUCAUGGAAUGCGGAUGAGCUUCGGCGAUAUUAUGUUUAAUUUGAUGUAAUUUUUUCUAUUCUUUUUUGUGGCACCCUUUUCCUUUCCAAAGGGGGAGAAAGGUUUUUAAUGGGGCCACAACAUGUAAUUUUUCUUUCCUUACUUCGAUUCUAUAAAAGUGAUAUCCCCCAAAAAAUGUAAAUGUAAAUGCUAAAGGAAAAGAAAAGAAAUCAGGGAGAAGCUCAAAAGUCGUUCCUAAGGGAAUGCAGAGCUUACAGCGAAAAGUCAACGCUGAUUCCGCUGAAAGUAAAAGGCGAAGAAGCUCCUAAGGGAGGCUUACAGCGAAAAGUCAACGCUGAUUCCGCUGAAAGUAAAAGGCGAAGAAGCUCCUAAGGGAGGCUUACAGCGAAAAGUCAACGCUGAUACAUUGAAAAGUAAACAAUGAAGCUGAAAAGUGAAAAGAUUUGAAUCAUUCCCAAUAUUCAUCUCCACAAUACAUUUCAUCAUAUCAUUUGCAUUCAUAAACAUUCAUUUAGACAUAUAUAGAAUCAUCAUCAUAUCACACAAAAAAUAUAGGCGCUUCAGCAAUGAGGAAAGACUUCGAAAAAGGAAAAUUUUUUAUGCUUCGUUAUGUACGAAAAGAAGGGAAGGUGUUUUUCGCCUUCGGCUCAAAAAGAAGUUUCAUCCACAACAAAGCAGAUUGUACACGGAUAGCGGAAACAAAAUAUAUUACAAGGUAUGUACAAAUUUACAUGAGUUUUUCCGUAAUAAUAUUACAAAAGUCUCUCCAGAAUUUUUGCAGGAAAAAAUAUUGUAGCAACUGUCAAGCUUCAGCUUCGUCAUACUUCAGCUUUGUUAUACUUCAGCUUCGUCAUCCUACGAAUAUUAAAGAGCAGAAUAAGAAAGGUGCAAAUUUCAAGGAGAAGGUAAAAGUAACAAAUAUAAGCUUCUUACCGGCUUAAGGUGACUUCGAGCUUCGUCACCCGCCAUUUUCCGCCCGCCAUUUACCCAAAUCUGGGUCAUAAAUCUAUUCCCGAUACUUCGGGCUAGGCUUGGAAUAUCUAUCAGAUCUGAUGAUGAUAAGCUGAAGUUGGGCCUAUUAACAAUCUUUCCAUGCGUGCAGCCAGCCUUCAGAAAAGUGGUAGCUGUGCCCCGAGAAGCUACCAGGGCGCAGAAGUCAGCAUGGCCACCAAUAACUUCAUCAAGAGCAUCAACCUCGCCUUCAAUAUAAUCUAAUGUGCUGGGCAAGUUUUCAGCUGAAGGUGUAAAUUUUUCAGAGCUGGCUCCAAUAGAAUGAAACACAUCCUUCAGCCGUUGCAUGCAUCGGCUGCCGAAACUUAGACAUUUCUCUUGAAGCUCCUUCAAGGAUUUUCGCAAAUUUGAAUUCUUUUCCAUCUCAGUUUUAAGACUUGCUUCAAGGUGUUUCUUCUCCUGCUCAAAUUUUUCUAGUUGUUUGAGCAAUUCAUCCUUUAAAUUGUUAUUCUCGGCUUGGAUCUCAGCCAAGGAGCCUUCCAAAGACUGAAUAACAAAGUCUUUCUUUUCUAAUGCACCUUCGUGUUCUUUAGUCAUGAUUUCAAGGUCCUGGAUGGUGAAGUCCUUUUUCAGAACAGCUUCGUAAUCUUCAACUUUUUCUUCCAAAUCUUUGAUGAUAGUUUUGGUCUUCUCUUCUUCGAGAUCUUGUUGCAUUUUUAGAACCUUACUCAAUAGUAUACUCUUCCAAAACAAUCUUCAUCAGUAAAUGACCUAAAACAUAAAUAAAAUAAUAAUAAUAAAAUUUGUUACCUUAAAGUUAGCAUAGAGCAGGCUUCCGGCGAUAUGGUGUCGUUGAUAUCUGCAGAGGUCAGCUUCUAGUUUCGGUAGGCCAACGCUUUUGGAGAGGGUUCUAACAACUUUGGCCUCGGUGCGGUUCCGAAGGCAUCUUAACUUCCCUUCGUUGACCCCACCAAAUAGCGUAGCCCCUGGCUUAUACCCGCAAGAUAUGGCAUAUUUUUUCAACUCUUCUUUUUCGGCGCCUGUUAGCUCUUGUCCAAGCAAAUCUUGAAAGUUAAAAUUUUCUUCUUCUAAAGUGUCAUCGAUCUGCUCCUUUUCCUUUCCAGUUGCCGUGGUUACCGCAGCCACAACAGCUUCUUCCUCAGCCAUUUUCAGGAGAAUAUUGUCAAUAACUUCAAGGGUGGUUUCCAGAUUUGAACCUUCUGUGGUCCCACCUUCGGCCCCAGCAGCUUCGGCGUCGCCGGUUUCAGCUUCGGUAGUUUCCGCUCUGGAAGCUUCGGUUGCGGCGCCUUCGGCUUCAGCGGUCUUGGCAAAAGCAAUUUUUGACACUGUCGCCGGUGGCGGCGUCUGAUGAAUCACAUCUGCUAUUUGAAUAAUUCUUCGUUUUUUCGGUGGUGCAGGACUUUCUUCUGCCGAAGCUGCUUUGUCCUUCUGAAAAAACUUCGUCAGUUCCGGCGCCAGCGGACUUAGCUUGACAGGCAAGGGUUCAGUCAUUACCUUCAUAAUCUCUUCUACUUCGGCAGCAGAAGGUGUUGCAGGAGUGUCUUCUUCUCGAACCAACGUUUUUGGUUCUGGAGAUGCAGUUUUCCUUUUUCUUGCAGCGGCCACCUUCGGCUCGGGGCUCAACUUUUGAGGACUCAGCUUUUCAGAAAUCUCCUUUUUCUUUUUUGUCACUUUGGUACUUUCUUCGUCAACGGCACUGGCAAUUCUUUUUCUCUUCGGACCGCCAGCAUCUCCGCCCAGUCGCCCAUAGUCAGGAUAUUCAAAGCCUAUAGCAUCAAGUACUCUGUUUAGCCUUCGUUUCGGCCGGGUACCGAAGGCUACUAUCAUCAAUUGGUCCUCUUUUUUAGAAUAAUUUCCAAGAAUUUCAGUACUCAUUAUUUCGAUUGUAUCGAGCCAUUCUUGGCAGGGUGCCUUAAAAUAUUUUUUGAAUUUAUAAUGAUAGGGUAGUCGGACAAGCUCCCCCUCUUUCUUCUCUCCUUUAAGCUUCGGCAUAGCCCAUUCCUUCAUAGUUGGAAAUACUUUGAAAGCCAAAAAUUCCUGCACCAAAUCCCUGGUGCCAAUGUGCUCUGCAAUAAUUCUUAAUUCAGCCAACGCCGUUUGGGUUGGACCUUCUGGUGUCAUAUUGCACUGGGGUCGGGUUUCUCCGAAGAUUAGUUCAAGCGGACUCUGUACAAGCUUCUCCUUGUCGUCAUCAACUUUGACGUAGAACCAUUCUGAUUUCCAGCCUGCCGGCCACUUGCUUCGAUAGCUGAUCACAGGAAAUUUUGUAGUUUUCCGAUAUGCAAAGUUGUAACAACUAAAAUUUUCAUGUAGCCCAUCCUUUCUGGCCUUAGUUUGGUAGUGUAGCUCGUGUACUCGGCAGAAACCUUCGGCAAAUGGCUCCACUGCUUGGCUUCGGAGAGCCCAAAUAUAAACACUAAGCCUAACAAUAGCGUUAGGAGUUAGUUGGUGAAAAUAGAUCCCAAAUUUUUUCAGCACAUCGGCAAUCAUCCUAUUCAAAGGAAAUCUCAAACCAGCUUUGAGGAAACUCUUAAAAAUCACUAUUUCAUCUUUUUGUGGCUUCGGGGUAAUUUCUUCUCCACCAAAGCGAAUCAUCUUUUUCUCAUCUUCGCUGAAGUAGCCCGACUUCACCAUCUUUGGGAAAUCAGCCUUCGAGAUAGUCGACUUCCCGAAGUCUAGAUGACUAGGCUUGCUCGGUACUGCGAUAUUGUAAUCAUCGUCAGUACCAGCCUCCUCAAUAUCUGCUUGUUCUGCUUCAGCAGCAGGGGUGUCUUCUGAUGUCAUCAAUCCAGAUCGCUUCAUUGCUUCAGAGAUAGGAACAGUUUCCGCACCUUCGGCUUCGUCCCCCUCGCGCUCAACUCUAGCAGUAGAGCGCACUCUGGCCAUUUAAUUUUGAAUUUCUUGAAAAGUUUCUUGGAAAAUAAUAACCUUCUCUUCCGAAGCUAUUUUUCUGACGAAGCAAACACCAAAUUGGAGCUUCGUUUGAAUGCGGAAAUCAAGCUUCGGCUAUGGUUAAAAAUUUUGGCAGCAAAACAGUGCAAUAACAAUGAAUGCUGUGGUAACUUCACACCUACCCGUCUGUUUAUAUAGCGCUGCAGGUAAGAAGGUGAGUCGUCAGGAUUUUUACACCAGGCAAACAGUUGCUCGCACCCGCUGAACGGUGGGCCGCAAAAAUCAGAACAGUGAACCUGCAUGGUGGGACCGCUACACGCUCGAAAGUUGUAUCGUUUCUCGACAACGAGCUCAGGGAAGGUGUUUUUCGGACCUUCGGCUUCCUGAAGCCUAAAAGACUUUUUUCACGGAUCAAGCUCGUUACGAAAAACGAUCUAGCACCGCGAAGGGGCUACUGUUGGGACCAUGCUUCGUCGCCGAAGGUCCUGCAAAAAGAAACAGCUUCAGCUGAACCUGCUUGAACAUGAUGCCGAAGACACCGUUCACAAAGCUUCGGAACUACAGCAUAUCCAAAGACGAAGGGUCGAACCGACUUAGAGAUAAAAUGACCUUUUAGCCUUCAAAGGUCUGAGUCAUUGUUGUAAACUUUUAUGAGGGGCAUAAUUGUAAUUCCUCAUGAGCUGUGUCCUGUGCCUAUAAAUAGUGAACAGUAUUCCUUUACUGUUCACGCAUUCCUGUAAUUGCUAACGCAUCACUCAGGAAUUAUUGCUUGUCAAGGCAAAGGUAUAAAUGUACCUAAACGUCGUAUUCAAAUAUCUUAAAUUCAUAUAAUAAGAUAUGUGAAUGAUGUCAUUUAUUCUCAAUAUAUUUAACUUUAAUGUUCCAUGUUUAACUUUACUUUGUAUUAUCCUUAUAAAUUUAAUUACGAAGGUGAAACCUUCGUAAUUUUAUGUUCGUGACCUUCGUCCGAAGUUCAUUAAAUCCUUGUGGAGAUAAUGCUUCGGCGGACGAAGGGCAUUGACUUUUAACAUUUUAUGUUGCCAUGUUCUUAAUUCAUAGCAUUUGAGAACAAGUCCCCAACAAUAUCGCAUAGCAUCACAUCAUACAUCAUAUCACACCAAUGACACGAAUUGGAAAUGAAGUCGAUCUUCGGAGAAUGCUUUACAAAAAUGAAAAGGUGCCAAGGCACAAAAUAAGCUAAGAAGUACAUCUUCAUCAGCUCUGAUAUGGAAGAAGAGAUCUAAUGUUUACGAAGCGCUGAUGUUUUUACUGAGCUUGGAUGUUCUUUACGAAGUAUGAAUAUUCUCACGAAGCAUAAACACUCUUCUUUACGAAGCAUGAAAAGAAGGGAAGGUGUUUUUUCGCCGAAGGCUCAAAAACGGUAUGUACACAAAGUUUCAUGCAUCGCAAUGAACUGAAUUACAAACAAUUUACAUAUUAGAUUCAAAAUUAUAAGCAUCAAAUAUUACAGACUUAGUUCAGCAAAUGUUACAUUAAUAUCCUAGAAAUGUUUUUACAAUAACUACUAUUCUUCCUUUAGAACUUUCUCUGCAACUUCGUUAAGCAGUUUGGUAACAACUUCGUCGACAAUAGCUUCGGCCAUAUUAAUGAUUUCUAUUGCUUUCUUCGUUUAUGGGUCGGCUAGUGGGUCGAAUGGCUCUGGUGGAGCAGGUAGUUCAGCUGCGGUAGAAAACAUCAAUUAGUUCGAAGUCACAAAAACAAAUGACGAAGCUAGAAGCUAUUAAACGAUACAUAUCCGUCUCUCGCGUUCGGCAGCUUCUUCAGCUUUUUUCGCCGCUUCUCGAGCCUCAUGAAUAUCUUUUUCACUUUUCUUCAUUAUUUCGUGAGCCAUUUCUCGGCCGCCAUUUUCCCAGAUAUCAGUGAAAAAUUUUCUGCCCAUAAAACUUGCUUUGGCCGAGGGAUCCUUCGUGUCAUCCACGGAGAAAGCAGCUUCAGCCUGGGCCAAGGUUUUAACAUGAUCGCAGCCCGCCUUCUCUAAGAUGGCUGCAACUCCUCUCGCACCAGAGAAUGCGCAGACGUCCCCACGAUCACUUAAAAUUUCCUCAAAAGCUUCGGCUUCUCCACUGAUCCACUCGAUAACGCCCUCAGGGUCGCCUCGUAUGAAGUUGUCUUCGUUUGAAUAGGCGCCCACGUUGGCGAUGCUAGUUUUUAUCUUUUUUCACGCACCCCACAGAUUUUUCAAAACAUCUUUCCUUGGAUGCGCGAAGCUCUGCAACUAUCUUUUCUACAUAAUUUUUCCAAUAUUCGCUGGCAUCUCGAUUAGCUUCAGCAACAGCGCAUUUUUCUUUGGCCUCAGCUAAUUGUCUCCGAAGGUCUUCAAUUUCACUCUUUUGGGCCUCAGCUUGAACUUUGGAACUUGCUUCGUCUUCUUUUAUUUUGUUUACCAAUGAAAUUAAUAUCUUAUCCUUCUCAAGACCUUCGUUCCUUAGUUCAAUUACCUCCGAACGAAGGUUGUUCAGAGCCAUUGUAUACCCUUCAUCUUCAAUGUUUUUCUGUGCUCUAAGGGCAUUGCUAAGGAUUAAGCCCUACAAGAGGAGGACGGGAUUAAACACAAGCAAAUAAAACAACUCAUUUUCAAAAUACAAAAUUAACUUUUAUACCUUUAUGUUAUUAUAUGCUAAACUGUCAGCCAAUUCAUCCUUUGAUAAUACUGAGAGCCCAUCUUCUAGCUUCGGAAAUCCGAAGCUUCUACCCAUCUCCCGGCAGACGGAUAUUUCUUUAUUAUCCGGGAGACAGUACAAAAAAUCUUCCUCCCCGCUGCCAUUGAAUACUAAUGCCCCCUUCGGAUAUUUCAGUUUUUGGGCAUAAUGCUGAGCUUCUCGUUCUUCUUCCUUAUAAAGUCUUUUUCCCGAAACAUGGCGGAUGAUGUAGUCAAUGCUCUCUUUUAAAGCUUCGGGAGCAGGAGUUGUUAUCUUUUCUAUCGAAAUUUGCUCUGUGACCUUUUCUUCUGUUGCCACUUCUUCAAUUUCGGCAUACUUUUUCUCAGCUGACUUUGAAGGCCCAGUAUCUAUUUCAGUCUCAAUCGUUGCAGCUUCAACUUCUAUAUGCUUAGUAUCAGCUUCAGUUUGCGCUUUGACAGUUUCGGCAACCUUCUUCAUGGGAGCGGGGCAUUUGGAAUCUGUUGUUUCCAAAAUAUCUAAUACAUUUACCAUCCUUUUUCUUCUAGGGGUUAUGGCAGAACUUUUUUCUGCCUUCAGCACUGUUGUUUCUGUUGAAGGACUUAGAAUCCCGAGCAUUUUUGUUGCUUCUUCAGUUUUUGACUUUUCAGCCUUAUCUUCGUCAACCUUCAUUUCAAUUAGCUCAUUCGAGGGUGCCUUCGGCAUUGCAGCCAGCUCUUCAAUCUUCUGUGUGGGAGGAGCAGGUUCUUUCGGAUUAGCAGCUGAAGAAGCUUCCCCGCUAAACUCAGGUACCACGGCCGGUUCAAUAUAACGUGGUCGGUGGGUAAGGACUUUCAAUUUUUUGCUCUUCGACGCAGGCUCAUCUGGAGUGGCCGAAGCAGCAGUUUUGGACGAAGCAGCAGUUUUCCUCUUCUUUCCCCGUCCUCGCAGCGGGUAGUAGUAGUCGGGAUAAACAAAACCAAUGGCAUCAAAAACUCUGUUCAAUCUCUUUUUUCCCCGGCCCCCGAAGGAUGUGGAUAAUGCAUUAUCUUCUGCUUUGGAAUAUGACCCAAGCAGUUCAUCACUUGUAGCUUUGAUACAUUUCAGCCAGUCGUCAUUUGGUUCAUCAAAUUUAUCUCCAUAUCUGAAUGUAUAUUUCAGUCGAACCAGGUCACCUUCGCUAGACUCGGUGACAGUCAACUUCAGCAUCUCCCAGUUCUCUACAAGCGGCCAAACUCUGAAUGCUAUAUGUUCUUGAAUCAAGUCUCUUAUACCAAUGAAGAAGCAUACAGUACCAAAGGCCUUCUGGCAUGCUUCGGCGGCUUCAUCGAUUUCAACCUUCGACUUUCGAAGGCCGAAGCGGGACCAUAUGGGACACAUAAUAACCUCCUUAACAUCCUCCCUUGCUACCAAAUCAUUCUUCACAUAAAACCAUUCCUCCAUCCAAUUUCCCGGUCACCUCUUCCGAAAUGUUGGCACUGGGUGACUUGUGUUGGGACGGGCGAUAAACCCGUAACAACCGAAGUUAUUGUGAUACUGUUCCUUCCACGUGGCCUUCGUCUCAUACAUAAGUUCGUGCAUGCUGCAGAAGCAUUUUGCACUUGGUUCUAUCCCUUGGCUCCUUGCUGCCCAGACGAAAACUCCCAUCCUCAAUAUGGCUUCCGGGGUCAGUUGAUGAAGGAAAAUUUGGAAGGUUUUCAACACUUCAACUACAAACCUGCUUAGUGGGAACCGAAGCCCAGCUUUAAAGAAGCUUCGGAAGAUCACAACUUCAUUCUCCUCAGGCGCAGGAGUGUUAUUGUCUUCGCUAGCCCUCACAAUAGAUAUAUCUCAAAAGUACCUCCCCCUCAUGCUCUCAAGGUGACUUUGCUUGAUGGUCGACUUUCCGAAAAUUGUAUGGCUUGGCCUCCACGGUCGAUCUUUGGAAUCUUCACCCUCACUUUCUGCAUCAUAGUUGUCACUGUCACCAGUAUCUUCAAACAGGCCCUCCAAUAUCUCCUUUGUAAUCUUCUCUGUAUUUGAUUUUGCCAUUGAUUCUAAAAACCCAGCUAUAUAAGGAUUUGUAGCCUUCUUCUGUUCAAAGAGCUUCUCCUCUUCGGUUAGCUUCGUCUCAGCAACAACCUUCUUGUCUUGAGACAUUUUUCCUUCAGCAAUGAAGAAAACAUGUCUUUUUAACCGAAGCUCAGGAAGCUUGAAAAACUAGCAAGCGUUAGUGAGCAAGAGCUAUAAAAUUGAGCAAAUAAAGCAAGUGGCACAAACAGCGUACCAAAUGUGGUCAGGGUGAGUUCUUAUUUAUACGCUCGGCGCGCUCCAAAUUGGAGGGUCCCGUCUGUCAUUGACUGUUGCUAUUCUAGCAAAGGGACGGUGUUUUUUCGUACCUUCGGCUUAAGGCCUUCGUCCAUGUCGCAGUCUGAAUUCGUUAUCCUAAACAAAUUAAUACUGCGAGGGGCUACUGUUGGGGGCCUUCGUCCUCCAAAGGUCCUCAAAAACGUAAUUUAAUAAUGUCUUCCAAGCAUGGAUUAUGGACAGGUACCUUCGGACUCAGGAUAAAAGCAUACACGAUGGGAAGAGCAUGAUCGUGACGAAGGUCGUCGUUGCUCCGAAGCUGAGAGCAAGGGAGCUUUGGCUCAAUCGCAGAAAAAGGAACCGACUUAAAGGGGAAAAGGCUAUCUAGUCCUCAUAGAUUUAUCUAUAAGUCAAUAAUAAAUGUAAAGGGCAUGAAUGCAAUUUCUCAUAUGCUGCGUCCUGUGCCUAUAAAUAGAUGAAAAGUACCCCCGUACUGUUCAUGCUGUCUUGUACUUGCUUUCUACGUCACGCUUCUAUUCUUUGCCUUCUAUCAAGUCAAAGGUACUUUUGUAAUCCAUUAUUGUUUCUUUCUUUCCAUGAUUAUAUAAUAAGAAUGAAUUGAUAACGUUAUAUGAUUGUUUUAUGUUGUCUCUUAUAUGUCAUAUACUUCUUCUUUUAUUUAACAUAUACUGUGAUGAUGAAGGUAUGUCAUUCAUGACCUUCGUCUGAAGAUCAUUAUAACCUAAGGGAAAUAAUGUUUUGAAGGACGAAGGGAAUUAACAGUUAAUAUUUUUGUGUUGCCUUGUUCUCAACUCAUAGCACUUGAGAGCAAGUCCCCAACAGAUUCAAUUGUUUAAAAUGUGAUCCAGGCCCCAACAAACCAGCAACGACCACCAACCUACCCCCUAGAGUGCACAUGAACCUUUGGUAUUAAAAGAAAAAAAUAUAGAUAAACCUCUUAGCACCGAUCCGGGUGCCAAACACGGGAACGGACCGCCUGGCGGGGCUCUCUACGGAGGCGUGGACGGUCCGCGGCACAAGGCCGGACGGUCCGCGAUAGCGUAGAGGUUCUUCUUCUCCGGAAAGAACCUUAGAACUCGUCCCGGGAGAGAUCCCGUCGAGGGGGAGGGUUCCAAGGGGUUGCUCCGGGUCGGCAGGCCGUCCGGUGCUCCUCUAAGCGGCGUAGAGUCGAUUAUAAAUUGUUGUGGAAGACUAAAAUAGAUCUAAUCCUAAGGAUAAAUUACUCCUACUCCUAGGAAUUGGAGGAACAAAAAGGUAAAACUGAUAAAUAGAUUUGAUUUGAUCGAUUGUGGGGGCUUCAAUCGGCCGUAGCCCUUCAUCUAUAUAAAGGGGGCUCUGGACCCGUUACAACUCGUUCCCCGAGCUAAUCCUGCAGUUUUAGCUAACAAAUCCUGCAAGAAACUUAGAACACUAACUGAUUCUGCGCACGCGCGGACCGUCCGGCCUUAGGGCCGGACCGUCCGUGUGGCACUUUGCUGUGCUCAACAUAUGCCCCCUAUCUUUUGGUGGAGGUUGACGAACCAAAAUCAUAUGUACUAAGCCUGAUACGAGUCACCGACUUUUUAAACCAAUAGGGUGAUCAUUCAAUAGAGCUCUAAUGCAUAUAGGUCGUUUCGGAUUGCAUCUUUCUCGGCCAUGACCACAGAACAAAAGGUAUAGAAUGGAGGUGUCCCCCAGUCUAAAUAGACAAAGGGACUAUGCAUGUACCAUGGGUUCAUCGUCGUACCAUUCCACAUUUGGACAGGACAAUAUAUCGACGAUGAGUAGGCAGGUGGAGAGCAUCCUAGCAUCACAGGAUGAAUAGGCGAGGCUUGUUGUGUCGCUUUUCGAGCUGUUUUAUUCGAUUGUUUUGUUCGGGGUUUUGUUGCUUGCCGAUUGCAUAGAAUGACCAUCUUGCUAGCAUAUUUGGAGAGCAAUUGAUCAAUAGUAGUCCCCGCUUUGACUAGCCGACCAUGUGCGUUACAUGUGCUUUGCCCCUGCAUCCCCUUCUUUGCUUUAUCUGUAGGCUGGCGCCUCUGUCCAUGGGUGGAUUGUCCAGCUGGGUUGGCCGAACUGACUGCAUCAGCAUCGGACCGUCCGUGCGCAGGUGCCGGACAGUCCGCUAUUCUCGAGGCAGGGACCUUUUCUCGACUGUUCGAUUGAGUCUGCCCCCAGUGCCUCUGGACUUGUUAGUCUUUUUGUCCGAAGCUUUCCGAGCAAUUCCUUCUUGUGAUAUAUUCGACGUGUGAGGAUGAAGCGCCCCAAUCCUCUGGGACUCAAAUGUGAUACAAUUACUAGUCCUAGGAGGCUAGUAAACACAUUUAUACAUCAGAUGAUUCCAGAUCUGCUUAAACGAGACAAACCUAUAAAGGUGGCGAUCAACUUUAAGAGUUGGUCCACAACUUGGGACAUAUCAUCAUAGUGGGUUGAAGCAGCCCAAUAUACUCAGCGAAGCAAAUCAGCGGUCCAACAGCCACAGACAUGGUUGGGAACAGGCAUAACUCUUACCCGAUCAGCGAUCUCCUUCUCUGAAAAACAACAAAUAAGCAAGGGUGAGUACUUACGUACUCAGCAGCCCACCUUCACCCACGGAAUGGGGAAAUCAGAUAUAAUGCAUGGAGUAUGCGGAGCUCAGGAUAUUUUGCAGAAAGAGCAAUAUUUGAUGCAAGGUUAUUUUGUAAAACAUUUUAUAUUUUUCAAAGUGCAUCCUCUCCCAAAGGAGCAGAAUGUUUUUCAAUAUAGAACAAAAUCCCCUGGACUAAACCAUCCAGGUAUCUCAGCAGUUUCCCACUGGUUUUCUUUUUCAAAAACAGCUACUGGACUUCCCGUCCACCAUAGCUCACGGCUCAACCGCCGGACCUUUUAAAACCACUUUCAAAAGCAUUUUUUGGAAAACAAAACACUAAUUGUCAAAUCCAUGCCAUGACUCAUCCAUAUCCGUGGACGUGGUCUAUUCAAAUAGGUUUUUAAACUCUGCGCAGAGGUGUACACUUUACCCACUAGUCCGGUUUCUGCAAUCUCACCGUCGUGAGAUCCGAAUGCCGAAUCUCUCUCUUUCCUUGCACGUCCUUACCUUAACGAUUAUACCAGAAGGAGUCAGGCCACCACCAUGCCCAAACCGGACAAAACAUCCCCCCUCCUUAUCCUCCCGAUGCUCCCCAGCCAUCAUAACCCUGGGGUUCGGACCGUACAAGUUCAGAUUGAGCGACCACCCAUAUAGUCUCGAGUGGUUGUACUUGAUAAGAGUAUAGGUAAGGAGUGAUGACAAACCGGUCCUUAGGCGAGAGGGACAUUCCUUCAUGCUCACACCUAAACUAGCUGAGCCAUCACCUUAGACCCUCCCCUAAACCAGGGAGUCCCUGAUUAUCCCGCUCAAAGGUGAUAAGGGUGACAACCCUUCAUCAUACCCAUUUUGAAAAGCAUUUUCUUUUGAAAACUCACACCAUUUCUCAAAUCAUUUGUAAGAAAGAUAUCAAGGAGUAUAAAGAUUAAUUGCGGCAAGCGGCUAGGUGGCCAUAAUAACUUGUUUCAAAAUCAUAUCAUGCAUAAAAUAACAGGCUGAGGGUUGUGGUUGAAAAAGCAUAGAUAAUUUAUGCAUCAAAGGGAUCCAGUGAGCUUGUUGUUGCUUUAACCGGCGAAGGGGCGAGAGCUUGCGUAACUGGCUUCUGCCUCCACUGCCUAGCGUAGACUUGCAGAUCUGGCCUCCACGAGACGGUACGAAUGCUCCGAUAACUAUGCAACAUGAAUAAGCAAAUAUACAAACCAUCAAGUAUAUCAACAAUUAUUUAGUAUAGUGGUGAGAAUGGCAAUAUAUGGAUGGGUAGAGUCUUGAGCAGAAUCUAUGUCAUGUGGUGUUGUGAUAUUGCUGGUGGUGGAGUGGAGGUGCUUACCAGGAGGCUGGAUUGGAGGCGAAGUGACACUAUGCGUGUAGCCGGCAGAGCAGGGUAACUGAGUGGAUGGGGUGUUUUCCUUGGCUGAGGGUGAGUGUGUGGAGAGGGAGAGGGUAGCUGGGUGUAUUUAUAUCUGGGUGUCAGUGGUGUAGUACAGUAGAGUUCACUGUUGGUGAGAAUAGUGACGAAUGAAUCGUCUGACUUAGUCUGAACAAGAGAGUUAUAGGCAGAAUAUGGGACAAGAGUAUUUUGGGAGUUUUCUGGAAUAUGAACCAUGCUUAAGGGAUGACAUGGUUGGAUAGGGAAUAAUUUGAUAAGAAUUCAGAAACAAGAAUUAUUGGAAUCUGAGUUUGGAAGCCUGGCUUGAAAUAAUCCCAAAGUUAAGCGUGCUCAACUUAGAGAAAUCUGGGAUGGGUGACCAGAUGGGAAGUUCUUACUAGAAGAAAAAUCACAGUCACCGGAGUUCGUAUGACUAGAAUAUUGGUCUGGCUAGUCUUAGGUGAGCUGGACAGCAUGAUGGAUGAGUAGUUGAAAUUUGGGGUGAUCGGAUGAUCGAUGAAUAGUAAUGAUGAAUAAUAACUAUGAAUAGUGACGACGAAAAAGUAACGAUAGAUAUCAUCGAUUAAUAGUAACGAUGAUGAAUAGUGAUAGUGAAUAGUAUGAUGUUGAAUAGUACCGGUGAAUAGUCGUAUGAACGAACGAUGAACGAUGAAUAGGAACUAUGAACGAACGGAAGAACGAACGAUCAGAAUUUUGGCAGCAUAACGGCUGAACAAAGAUUAUUUGGACGAACGAUGAAUAGUGACUAUGAACGAACGAUGAAUAGGAACUAUGAACGAAUGGACGAACGAUCGAAUGAUCGAACGAAUGAACGAUAGGAAUUUCGGCAGCAUAACGGCUGAACAAAGAUUAUUUGGACGAACGAUCGAACGAUGGGGGGAACGAACCAUGAACGAUCGGACGAACGAACGAACAAACUAAGAACAUGUGGACGAACGAUCGAAGAACGACCGAACGAUCCUUGUGCUUGUGUGGGAGGUGGAGUGGGCGUGUGUGGGGGGGGGAGAGUUGCCAUGAAAUAGCUUGGGGUGGCUUGAGAGGAGACCCUUGCCCCUCUAUUUAUAGGCUCGGUGGGGGGAUUAGGGGGGAGGAGGCGAGGAUUAGUGGGAGGAUGCGAGGAUUAGUGGGAGAUAAGCAUGUAUUUGUCUUGUAUAAGUGUAAUUAGCUUGUAGAGCUCAGUGUAUGACACCGGAGGGGUACGUAUACGUAUGAGCAUGAGGAAAAUUAUGGAGAAAAUAUUUGUGGGGACUUUGAAGGGGAUCACUAGGGAAAUAUUUGUAGGAUAUUUUGAGGAGGAUUUUGGGGAGAAUGUAGACCAAUAUAUUUUAUCUGUUGAGAUCAACUCGCAAACAAACAUUUUUGAAAUGAAAUUUAAAAUUUAUUUUGAAUUUAGAGCGAGUUUGAGAAAAUUUCAAGAUUUGAAUUUCUGGGAUGCUACAAAUCUACCCCACUUAAAAUGAAUCUCGUCCUUGAGAUUCGGCUUAGAAGGGUUAUGGGUAUAGCUUUACUUCAACUACAUAUCUUCACUUUGCAGACUCUUCGAGGAGAUGGAGCUUCAACAAAAUCUGGCCUUCGAGGAGCAUCCGGUUGCCGAUUGCAAACGCUGAUUCUGGCGACUCAAAGAUCAUCUUAAGGCUUCUAGCUUUCGCUUGGCAGAUAGCUUAUUAAAGAAGCAACGAGGCAGCCAACACGCAAACCUUCCUCAUACAAACUUAUCCACAUGGAUUCCUUCCUUGAUUGGUCUUCUAGUGCUUCAUCAACAAAACUUGGGUGACCACUUCUCAUCUAGAAACUUAUAAGCUUCGAUGAUCUGGUCCUCCACAAGCUUGCUACAGGCCUUCUUCUUUUUCUCCAUAGCAGGAACCUUACUAGAACACUACCCCACUUAAAUGAAUGAGGGUAGAACUCUUGAAUCUCGGCGAUUUGAACUCCUUGAAGUACCUCAUAACACGGGUGUUACGGGGCCUUCUUCUGCUGUUGAUGCUCGAGCAGGCUGCGGAGAGAUGACUAACACAUGUUGAUUUUGGGACAACCUUCUUCUCAUCUUCUCUUCACUUUUUUUCUCACUGACCCUUUCUUUCUCUUUGUUCUUCCCACUGGAGGAUUCUAUCAAAGAGUAUUACCAUCAUACAGAGGAGGAAACCAAAUACUAUGAACCAUGUACAAUAGUCUUCAACCCAAGAAUCACCAAGCAUUGUGAUCUUAGGGGCGAGGGAGUGGAAAAUGGAGUUGCUUGCGAUUCGGCAGAGGGUAUUUUAUCAGGUGUGUGCUUUGCUUUGAGUGAGAUGAGAGUUGAGGGUGCUGGUGGGGGGUUUAUAGGCGAGGAGCAUGUGAGGUGGUACUCAGGAUGUGGAGUGGUGGUGAUGGAGCAGGUGCCACGCGGCAGCAGACGCGACAUGGGGAGGGGGACUGGUGUUACCGGCAAUGAUGGCGGCGGUGGGUGCGCUGCAAAGGGGGUGUGGGGCGGUGGUUGGAGGCGAGGCACGCGUGCGGGGGGCACGGGUGAGUGGUGGGGUCGAUGACCCUGAUGUUUGUGGUCUCUGGUUACAAGAAUCUUUGCCUCUCUGUAUGGUAAUAACUCCUUCUGUCCUCUUUUCCUGUUUACUUUGACUCAGGGGCAGUGCUUUGAUUCUCAUGGUCGGUCCUUUUGACUAAGAGGCUAGACAGGUUCCUUCUGUAGCUUCUUCCAGGCUUCAAGGGUAAGCUUCCCGGUAUCUUCUUCGGUAAGGUGCUUUCUCUUGAGAUGGGUUAAGAUGAGAAUGGAAGCAUAAGGUGAGAAUUAGCUCUAAUUUGUUAUCUAUGUUUUUAGAGAAAACCUUUCUUAAAAAGAAGGAAAACACACAAGCUCAGCAAUGAUAAGCACAGACAAAUCAAAUGUUUUGAAUGGGCGAAGAAUAGAGUUUUUCUAAAGCACGGACUACUCAGAUUUGGGGCUAAGCAUAACUACUAUUGCUCGGCUCCUGAACUUAGAACUAUGCUUAAAUGCGACUUAUGAGCACUAACGUUAAAGCAUCACAUAUGCACUCAAAAGAGGGGCAAACAUCAAGCAUAUUUUUUUUUGAAAUGCCCUAGGGGGCCACACAAUUAGAGUUUUUCAAAACACGGGGCUACAUGAUUACCUCUGAUACAUGCAGGGCUCUAGCCAAAGUGAAGAAAAACUUCACUACCCAAUGCAUGCAGAGGACUGGGCAUAACUAGCUUCAGACCAGGAAGCUUCUCUUCUGGCGAGGCUAGCACACAACUUCAAUCUGAGACAUCUCCUUUAUGGGUCAAGAGGGAGCUGAUGUUGAUGACUUCUUCUGGCGGCGACUGAGAUGGCAAGACAAGGUCGAACUCUUCUUCAAGCGGGACUGGCCCUUGUAGCUCCUAAGAGGGCGGUGGUGCUUGCGGCUUCUUCCUUGAUCUCAAGGGAGGGUGCUGGAAUCUUCUUUACGGUGAGGGGCUCAAACAACUCUAGUGGGGGAUCUUGGGAGGACUCGGGGUGCUCUUGCUUAUCCAUAGCCUGAAGGGAGACUGGCAUUCCUUCCAAGACUAUGGCUCCUUCCGGGAGUUCCCAAGUCUUCUUCUCUCCUUUGAUAGAGACCGGGUGGCCUUCAAGAAUUUGGGGAUCUUUAGUUCUCAUGGGUUGAACUGGGUUGGAUGAAGCAGGCUCUUGGAUCCAUAGGGCUCUACGUUGGUUGUGGGUGACCAAGUAGGCCUCCAUCAACUUCUGGACGUGCUCAUCCUUGACUUGCUUCAGGGCUUCAACAACAAUGACUUCACGACUUUCCAAGGCAGCUACACGGGCUUGAGUUGAGGUGAAAUCUACAUGGAGCUGACGGUUGCGCUUCUCUGCAUCUUAUGCUCGGGCAAUCAUUUGACGGUGGUGCCGAGCCGAGAAAUCAUAUUGUGCAUCUAGGGUGAGCAAGUAUGCAGUGAGGUACACGACUGUGGGGUCGUCCUCAAGCAGCUGCUGCCCUUCCAAUGCACGCAUCCUGGCCAUCCAAACGGGACAGCUUCUCUGAAAGGGUGGAAAGAAUCUGAACGGGGUGUCAGCCACUUCUUCUUCAUAAAUUUGACACAGGGCCCUCAAUGCCUUACGAGCGACGAGUUGGCAGGUGUCUCUGAAAUUUGUGCCCCGCGGCAGUGACACUCCAUUCCACAUGGUGUGGACAGGAUCCAAUGUAUACAGUCACGACACACUUCUUUGUGCCAUGCUCGACGAAUUCACGACCAUCAUACUCUGGCUGGCUCCUAAUUCCGAGGCGAACUGUGCAUGCUCUCAACAACUUGGGGAAACCAUCUUCAUUCUAGCAAAAGCUUGUUUGGCAGCGAGCUUCCAUCUGGCUUCUGAGAGAAGGAAAGGGGAAACAUUUUUGAAAUGAAGGGGUGAGAGCAAGAAUUUUUUUAAGAAAUAGUUUUGACUCAAAAACUUUUGGAUCAAGGCUAAGGGUUACGUCCUGCGGCCAACCUAACAGCUCUGAUACCACCUGAAGCGCCCCAAUCCUCUGGGACUCAAAUGUGAUACAAUUACUAGUCCCAGGAGGCUAGUAAACACAUUUAUACAUAAGAUGAUUCCAGAUCUGCUUAAACGAGACAAACCUAUAAAUGUGGCAAUCUACUUUAAGAGUUGGUCCACAACUCGGGACAUAUCAUCAUAGUGGGGCUGAAGCAGCCCAAUAUACGCAGCGAAGCAAAUCAGCGGUCCAACAGCCACAUGCAUGGUUGGGAACACGCAUAACUCUUACCCGAUCAGCAAUCUCCUUCUCUAAAAACAACAAAUAAGCAAGGGUGAGUACUUACGUACUCAGCAGCCCACCUUCACCCGUAGAAUGGGGAAAUCAGAUAUAAUGCAUGGAGUAUGUGGAGCUCAGGAUAUUUUGCAGAAAGAGCAAUAUUUGAUGCAGGGUUAUUUUGUAAAACAUUUUAUAUUUUUCAAAGCGCAUCCUCUCUGAAACGAGUAGAAAGUUUUUCAAUAUAGAACAAAAUCCCCUGGACUAAACCAUCCAGGUAUCUCAACAGUUUCCCACUGGUUUUCUUUUUAAAAAAAAUAACUACUGGACUUCCCGUCCACCAUAGCUCACGGCUCAACCGCCGGACCUUUUAAAACCACUUUUCAAAAGCAUUUCUUUUGGAAAACAAAACACUAAUUGUCAAAUCCAUGCCAUGACUCAUCCAUAUCCGUGUACGCGGACUAUUCGAAUAGGUUUUUAAACUCUGCGCAGAGGUGUACACUUUACACACUAGUCCGGUUAAUGCAAUCUCACCGUCGUGAUAUCCGAAUGCUGAAUCUCUCUCUUUCCUUGCAUGUCCUUACCUUAACAAUUAUACCGGAAGGAGUCAGGCCACCACCAUGCCCAAACCGGACAAAACAUUCCCCCUCCUUAUCCUCCCGGUGCUCCCCAGCCAUCAUAACCCUGGGGUUCGGACCGUACAAGUUCAGAUUGAGCGACCGCCCAUACAGUCUCGAGUGGUUGUACUUGAUAAGAGUAUAGGUAAGGAGUGAUGACAAACCGGUCCUUAGGCGAGAGGGACAAUCCUUCAUGCUCAAACCUAAACCAGUUGAGCCAUCACCUUAGGCCCUCCCCUAAACCAGGGAGUCCCUGAUUAUCCCGCUCAAUGGUGAUAAGGGUGACAACCCUUCAUCAUACCCAUUUUGAAAAGCAUUUUCUUUUGAAAACUCACACCUUUUCUCAAAUCAUUUGUAACAAAGAUAUCAAGGAGUAUAAAGAUUAAUUGCGGCAAUCGGCUGAGUGGCCAUAAUAACUUGUCUCAAUAUCAUAUCACGCAUAAAAUAACAGGCUGAGGGUUGUGGUUGAAAAAGCAUAGGUAAUUUAUGCAUCAAAGGGAUCCAAUGAGCUUGCCAUUGCUUUAACUGGCGAAGAGGCGAGAGCUUGCAGAACUAGCUUCUGGCUCCACUGCCUGGCGUAGACUUGCAGAUCUGGCCUCCACGAGACGGUACGAACGCUCCGAUAACUAUGCAACAUGAACAAGCAAAUAUACAAACCAGCAAGUAUAUCAACAAUUAUUUAGUAUAGUGGUAAGAAUGGAAAUAUAUGGAUGGGUAGAGUCUUGAGCAGAAUAUGUGUCAUGUGGUGUUGUGAUAUUACUGAUGGUGGAGUGGAGGUGCUUACCAGGAGGCUGGAUUGGAGGCGAAGUGACACUAUGCGUGUAGCCGGCAGAGCGGGGUAACUGAGUGGGUGGGGUGUUUGACUUGGCUGAGGGUGAGUGUGUGGAGAGGGAGAGGGUAGCUGGUUUAUUUAUAGCUGGGUGUAAGUGGUGGAGUACAGUAGAGUUCACUGUUGGUGAGAAUAGUGAUGAAUGAAUCGUCUGACUUAGUCUGAACAGGAGAGUUAUAGGUAGAAAAUGGGACAAGAGUAUUUUGGGAGUUUUCUGGAAUAUGAACCAUGCUUAAGGGAUGACAUGGUUGGAUAGGGAAUAAUUUGAUAAGAAUUCAGAAACAAGAAUUAUUGGAAUCUGAGUUUGGAAGCCUGGCUCGAAAGAAUCCCAAAGUUAAGCGUGCUCAACUUGGAGAAAUCUGGGAUUAGUGACCAGAUGGGAAGUUCUUACUGGAAGGAAAAUCACUGGAAUAUUGGUUUGGCUGGUCUUAGGUGAGCUGAACAGCAUCAUGGAUGAGUAGUUGAAAUUUGGGGUGAUCGGAUGAUCGAUGAAUAGUAGCGAUGAAUAGUGACGAAGAAAAAGUAACGAUAGAUAUCAUCGAUGAAUAGUAGCGGUGAUGAAUAGUAACCGUGAAUAGUAAUGGUGAAUAGUGAUGGUGAAUAGUCGUAUGAACGAACGAUGAACGAUGAAUUGUGACUAUGAACGAACGAUGAUCGAUGAAUAGGAACUAUGAACGAACGGACGAACGAUUGAAUGAUUGGACAAACGAACGAUCGGAAUUUCGGCAGCAUAACGGCUGAACAAAGAUUAUUUGGACGAACGGUGAAUAGGGACUAUGAACGAUGAAUAGGAACUAUGAACGAACGGACGAACGAUCGAAUGAUCGGACGAACGAACGAUCGGAAUUUCGGCAGCAUAACGGCUGAACAAAGAUUAUUUGGACGAACGUACGGACGAACGAUCGAACGAACGGACGAAUGGACGAACGAACCAUGAACGAUCGAUCGAACGAACGAACGAACAAACUAAGAAUAGGUGGACGAAUGAUUGAAGAAUGACUGAACGAUCCUUGUGCUAGUGUGUGCUUGUGUGGGAGGUGGAGUAGGCGUGUGUGCGGGGGGAGAGUUGCCAUGAAAUGGCUUGGGGUGGAUUGAGAGGAGGCCCUUGCCCCUUUAUUUAUAGGCUCAGUGGGGGGAUUAGGGGGGAGGAGGAGAGGAUUAGUGGGAGGAUGCGAGGAUUAGUGGGAGAUAAGCAUGUAUUUUUGUCUUGUAUAAGUGUAAUUAGCUUGUACAGCUCAUUGUAUGACACCGGAGGCGUACAUAUACGUAUGAGCAUGAGGAAAUUUAUGGAGAAAAUAUUUGUGGGGAAUUUAAAAAUGAUUCUAAAGGUAUUUCUUAGGAGGAAAAUAUUUGGAGAAUUAUCGGUGUAAUAUUUGCGCAUUAUUUCUGGAAAGAAUUUGAAGGGGAUCACUAGGGAAAUAUUUGUAGGAUAUUUUAAGGAGGAUUUUGGAGAGAAUAUAGACCACUAUAUUUUAUCUGUUGAGAUCAACCCGCAAACAAACAUUUUGAAAUGAAAUUUAAAAUUCAUUUUGAAUUUAGAGCGAGUUUGAGAAAAUUUCAAGAUUUGAAUUUUUGGGAUGCUACAGAGGAUGACCAAUGAUGAUGUUUUUUCCUUUGCCCUUAUCGGCCACUUCUGGCCGAACCAAGGCCCUUUUGCUUGCUAGCCCUAUUGUAUUGAUAGGAAAUGGUUGUGUGUCGACAGUUAUGAUCACAAUCAAUGGAACUUCAAGAUUUUCAACAAAUUAUAUAGUUCCAUUCUCCAUACUUUUGCCUUUUACCUGAAUGCAAUGAGAUCCAUUCUUCUAGGUAGCAUGAAGUGGGAUCACCUGUUGUUACCAAUUUAUGGCUUCUUUUUGCUAAUGCACUUCCUUCCUUAAGAUCACCUUCACACAACUCGAGGGAGUGCAUUAGGGACACAACAAGGAUUCCCCUUUCUGGUACACAUAGUACUAAGACAGAGAAAUCAUGUGAACAUGGACUUAUACAAAACUAUCAUGCUUGCACAUAGGUUAAUAUCAAUCGAUGCAUAAUCAUUAGAAACCACACAACAUGAUUUACACAAAGAGAUACAAGUUUAACCAUGUAUACCGAGGGAGCUAAUCAUGGCAGAUAGAUAUAUCAAAUGAACACCUACCAAUUUAGAGGAUUCAAGAGAUAUAUACUAUCAAGCACACACCCAUGUUCAAGAAAGUAUGAUUAUUAUAUUGAAAAACAAUGAUUGCUAUAACACCAAAUGAAUGACAUCAUACAAUAAGCAAUCUUAUAGGUAUAAACAGUCCAAGGAUAGGUCAAGCAAGAAAAGCCAACUUAAGAGCACUACCGAUUGAAAAUAAUGCAUUUAAGAUACACUGGUACUAUCCUUUAGAGAGCAAGAUACAUAUUCUCAUCAAAGUCCUUUGAUUGAUUCACCAAUAUUGAUUAAAGACCUCUACAACUUAUUUAACUCAAGAUGAACAUGGGAUUAGUAUUGCACAAUAAUUCAACCUUAGGUCAAUAAAUAGACAAUAAUAUUGAUAGCUUAACUAUAGAGUUGAAUUAACCAUCUUAAGCUCUCCCAAGGUCUCUAGUCUAUCUCGAUGCACCUGCACGAUCUAGUUGGCAUAGUUUGGUACCCAUCUUGGGAUGGGUCCAUAGAGAUCAUUUAGUAGUGCCUUGGGUACCCAAAUAGCAUUUGUGUUGUAUCUAGGUGAUCUCAUUAUUGAUCUAGCACAAGUGUAUGAUUUGGGUCUCCUAAGCGAAUAAGAUUGAGAUAAAUUUACUUGCUUAGGAACCUUACCCUUAUUACAUACCUUACGUAGAUGACCUUGCUCACCACACUUGUAGCAGAAGUGUCGCUCAGCUUGGUAUGAUGCUUGUUGUCCAUUCUUGUUUUUGGUGAGGGUCAUCAUGGGGAAUGCACAUCUUUGAUUCUUCAUGAGCGGGCAUGAAGUGAUCACAUGGUCAUUAUCGUUGCAUCCAAAGCAUCUCCUCAUCCUUUCAUCCUUGUCUUUGUGUGGACAAGAUGCAAUGAAGUGGCCUAAUUCCUUGCACUUGAAGCACCUCAUUUUUUCUCUUCCCUUUUUGCUCUUGGAUGACAUAGAGAGAUGAUCAGUGCAAACAACAUGACUAAUUGAAUCUUUACCUUUUUCCUUGUUCAUGUUGAUUGCUUCAUUUAUUGCUUUAGGAACAUCCUUCUUAUGGAGUUUAACACUUGUUGCGGUUUCUCCCAUCUCAAGCUUCUUAACCAUGCGUCAGUGGAUAUCUUGAGGAGGUUGAGCAAUGCGUCUUCUCCUUAGUUGCUUUGCUUUAUUGUUCCUUUCUUUAUUUAUGAGCAACUUUUCUUUUGAUCCUGCAUCUUGAUGCUCAUUAAAAAAUUGGCUUUCUUUUGAGCAAUAGGGGUUAGCACAUGGUGAUAUAUUAUCUAAAUGUGCACAUGUGCAAGAAUGAGGUUCACAUGAAUUUAUGCUUGCAAUUACAACCUCAUGAGCAACAUCAAGCAUGAUAUGUUUAUCCAAAAGAUUAUCAUGAUAAUAAGACAACAUAUCAUAUUUUUUAGUAAGAGCAAGUUUAUCAUGAUUUAGCAAUUCUACUUGCCUCUUAAGUAUAGCAUUUUCAAUUUUAAGUCGAGCAACACAAGAUAAAGCAUCAUCAUUAUUUCUUUGCUCAGUUAAAACAGAAUCAUACCGUUGGACCAAAUCAUCAUGAGAGCACCUUAGUUCCUCAUGUUCUUUGGUCAUCUUCUCCAGGUUGUUGUUGGUUUUGAUGAGUGUCUUCCCUAGCCUGAGAAGCGUCUCGCCUUGUUCUUUAUUUCUUGUCAACAAUUUCAUCAAAAGCAUCUUGUCUUCUUUGUUGAGAUUGGUGUAGAACUGGCGAAUUUCUUCCUCACACAAAUCAUCGGUCUCUUUUUCCCUCACAUCAUUAUUAGUGGAAGCAAUACGGGGAAAUGUACAUUGUGAUGAUGUAGAUUCAUCCUUUCUAUCAUCAUGUUCCUCCUCAUCGUCAUUUUCGUCUCCACUAUCAUCAUUAGCAACAAGACAUUUAUAACUAGUGGGAGAUGAACCUGUCGGUGAGGUGGAUUCAUCGCUUGGUGUCCAUCGUUCUUGUUCUUCUCCCUUGGACAAGUUAGUACCACCAACAAUAGAGAGAGCAGAAGCGGUGCAUAUGGACUUAAAAAUUCAACUUAAUUUUAGUCCAUAGAUCAUAAGCAUCAACAAAUAAAUCACUAUCACUACUCAUGAUGGCAAAAUAAGCACCUCUAGAAAGAGAGUCAACUAAGAUGUUGCAAACAUGGUGUUUGAGAGAUAAACAUAUUAGUUCAACCUUAGAAGGAUUUUUACUAAUAUCGGAGGAAAAAAUACUUCUACUAAAAAUCUGUCUCAAAUCAGGAUCAAUAUGCAUGAAAGCAUUAUAAAUAGAGACAAACCAAGAUUUAUAAUUAGAACCAUCGCCUAAAAGAAGUUCUAGGGUUACCUCUUGUGACGACAUCGUCAUCUCCGGAUGGCUAAGCCCACACUGGAGAGCCCUAGCUCUGAUACCAAUUGAAAGUUCCCUAUGCACAGGAACAUGAUCUGGAUGUUGCCUAGAGGGGGUAAUAGGCGAAUAAUAAUUAUCACUGUAAAACUUAAAACCUUACUCUACUCGAAGACUGGAUCACGACAGAAUGAAGAUUGCUUCGAGUAGGUGGCAGCGAAAAUGCAGUUCCUGUCUCAAAGAGCCCUGCACUUCACAAGUAACUUAUACCAUAUAUAAGAGUAUAUGAAGUGCACACCAUACUAAAGCAAGAGACAAAGAACAGAAAUAGAGACAAGACAAGAGACACAACACAAAGCACGUAGGACACAAGGAUUUAUACCAAGGUUCAGCCAAGCCUGAAAUGCUUGCCUAGUCCUCAUUGGAGUUAGCCGCACCUUGGCUUGGAGUAUCUUACUCCGUCCUCCGAUGUGCUCAAAUUUGUCAAUGUGACAGAUAGAGCCUUCCAAUAUGUUGAUGAUUGUUACAACGUUGCCACGACUGCCUACAACUUUCUUGACAGCACUCCGACAGAGUAACAGUGCUCAAGGUCUUGAUCUUGCUUUUAGCAGCAUCUUCCCUCUCUCUAAAGGCUUUUAAUUACGCCUCUAUACAAACUAGAGAGAAAUACACAAGAGAGGGAGAGUAAUAUGAUUUGCAAUGAGUCUACAAAGUGUUGAUGCACAUGGGAUUGUUCAUCUAUAUGCCUUAGUAUGUUUUUUGGGCUCCCACACCUCCAAAUGGCCGGUUAGGGGGGUAUUUAUAGCCUCCCCCACACUUCUAGUAGUUGGACAGAAAGCAACAACUUUCUGUUGACGGGCGCACCGGACAGUCUGUUGCGCACCGGACACGACACUGUUUACUGUCCGGUGGCUGUCACGUCAGUCGACCGUUGAAUCCGACCGUUGCCACCCUUCGACCACUUGACACACCGGACAGUCUGGUGGCACACCGGGCAGUCCGGCGUGACUUGAUGACCGUUAGCUUGGCUGACGUGGCCGACGCUGACUGCGUAGCCGACCGUUGGUCAGGCACGCGGCUGGCGCACCAGACAAUCCAGUGAUUUAUAGCCGCAGCGCCCCAACUACUUCCCGACAGCGGCCUGUUCACCGACGGCCAGCCUGGGCACCGAACACUGCCCGGUGCACACCGGAAGUUCCGGUGCUCCCAAACUGGUGCAACUUCUUUACUCUAAUUUGUCUUCUUUUGGGAUGAUCCCUAGCACUUAGACACACACAGUUAACCACUAAAACAGUUGACUAAGUCUUGGGAUCAUACCUCUUUACUCUAGGAUUUCUGAUCUACUUUAGACAGAGCUUCAAAACCAUCAAGUCAAUUUGACUUGAUCUAGAUUAAUACACAUAAGGUCCAACAUCUUGCAAAGGUCACAUUUAACAUAUCCAAACAUAGGAACAACCCAAACUAAAGGUCAAAGUAAACUUAGCUCUGUUGGACUGCUUCUAGUUCUAGUUUUGACACUGCUCCUCCUUCUAGUGACCUUGUUCACUUUUCGAGCUUGAUCUUGAGGCUUAUGACUUACACCACAUAACUGUAGAUGUUACCUCAUUGGUUGUAAGUCAUGCCCUUAUGUAGUGAUCCUUGAUGCAUCAUAACUCUUCUUAACUCGAUCAACCAUGACUUUGCAAGUCUUCUUCACCCCUAGCUUUGGGUUCCUCGUCCUCUUUGACCUUCUCCCGUGCACUCAGUACCACGAAGCUCUUCUUGCCUCCAUCCAUGGCUUGACCAGUUGUCUCCGAGUUACGCACACCGAGUCUCACAUAAGCAAUGUCCAUCUUACUUGUGAUGUCCAUUAUCUAUAGAUAUUCCAGUCUUUGGACCAUCACACUUGUUCACUUGUGUUGAACACUGUAAGCUUUGAAUUAAGCACUUAUUCAACACUUAGCACAGCUGUUAGUACUUUAAUUGGGUUGUCAUCCAAACCACCAAAACCCACAAGAGAGCUUUCACUACUGCAGACCCAUAACCAAAUCAAGAGCAGGCUCUAGAUGAAAUUAAAAGAAGAUACAUGUAUGCACCUUGCCAAAUGAAAUGGGGAUCUUUUGCUUGUUUUCUGGUGAAGUGUUGUGAUUCUGUCCACACAUAGUCUCUCCUUUCUUACCUGAUGAAACAAACACUUCUUUGUUUCAGGGUGAUGCACCAAGGCAGCAGAAAUAUGCAUAUUUGAUCGAAACCCCAUGGUCCAGCUUUUAUUGAUAGACACAGGUAGUUUCUUAUCCUUAUGAAUAUAUAUACAGUUUCCUAAGUAACAAUGCAUGUUUGUUUCUAUAAGUAACAAUGAUUUUCCUAAUGACAAAAAAAUCACAUCUAGAAUCAAGAAAAGCAACUCAGAUGAGAAAUACUGUAAAAACUCAUCCAUCUAUUGUAACACGGUUUCAGCUGAUCUAAUGGCAAAUUAAAUUUCAUAACACUUUGUCCAAAACAAUGACAUAUCAAAAGCAGUGACCAAAGAAAAAACCAUCUAAAGCACUUAACUUUAGUUGUCAAAACAAAGUAAGACCAUGGAAACUGCACAUGUGGUUUUAGCAACUUACAAAGAGAGAUUAUUACAAAGGAAGAAUUGCUUUUCCUUUACUUGAAACCUGACAAUGUGGAGAAACAGGUUACAACGUAUUAGUCAAUAACUGAACAUUUUGUUGCAAAGGAAACCGACGAUGAUAAGAACUAACCACAUACAUUUUGUUAAGAGAAGGGGAAUCAAAACAAAUUGUCCAAACAAAUAAACCAAAGUUGAAGUGUUCAUAGCUACAAUAUAUUUUUUGAUUCAAUGCCAUCUCUAUCCUAUCUAACACUCAUUACUAAACCCUAAUCUGAGUUCUUUUACCAAGAGGAAGUGUGUUCUAAGCAAACAAUAUAUCUCAGUUUUGAUGUUGUGUAGUACUACAAAUUACUUUAAACACAUAGUAUUACUUUAACCAUGAAAUAACACAAAAUACAAAACAACAGAAACUCUUAGCAAGCUAUGAUGACUAUAGAUAGAUGAUAGAAGACAACGAUACAUGAUUAGGUGGCUAAACUUAUAGGACAACAACAACAUCAAGAAUUUCUGGAUGAGAUAGAAGUAGCCCUUCAAGCUCGGCGGGUGCAAUCUACCAGAACAAAAUAUGAAAAUUGACUAAAGGAAAGUGCAUGAUAUAAGACUGAAAAGGUGAAAUAACAUAUGUGAUGGAUAAUCCAUUUUAUGAUAGUUAGAUUGAAUAGUAAAGAAAGCAUACACUGAUUCAAGCCAUUAGGAAUACACCCAUGAUUCCAAAUAGAUAUUCACAAAGUUUCUAGUCAUAUCUUUUUUUAAAAGUUUCUAGUUAUAUUUGACAAAAUGUUAUAUAAUGGUAUACUUAUUCAAAGAAGUUCUAAACCUUUACAAUAAUGCUAAUCAUGAAGAUAAAAUCAUAGGUAUUUAUUUAGUACAACACUUGAACAUCACAAAGCAUACAAACUUCUUACAUCGAACAUGAGUUGGUUUACAAAAUAAGACAAUAACAUAUAAAGCCAUGCUCAAAUUUCCAUCAGGACAUGCUUAGGCUUGCUACUUUUCCUUAAACCUGCAUCUCAAUCACCUUAGAAUGCAUGCUGGUACUCUCAAAUUUCUAUCAGGAUGUGCCUAGACUUGCUAAUUUUUCUUAAACAAACAUCAUAAUCUCCUCCAUUUAACCAGUUACUACCAUAAAUAAUUUUUGAAAUCUUUCUUAACCGGUUACUAUCAUAAACAAAUGAACAUAGUAGGGGAAGUGAAUAAAGAAAAUAAGUACAAAUCAAAUUGCCCAUGUGCAACUAAGUCACGAUAAUCAAGUGACUAUAACUAUAUGACCCGAAAAUGCAGGGCAAUGAAUAAAAAGCACUGAGCACAUUAAUUAUUCAAAGAAAAAUAAGUAGGAGCAUCAAACGGGGCAUUAGCUUGAACAGUUGUUGUGCAUCCAGAACUCCACUCCUAGAGGAGAGAUCCCACAAACAUUAGAUGCAAAAAGAACCCAAAUGAGGUUGUUUGCGAAUUAAAAGCAUGCUAGUGUGCCAUUGUGUGAAGGCAGACCGUACCUGGCGGCGAGUCGUUUGGCACAGCAGAGACUGGGGGAGGGAAGAGCAGUGAGCAGGAGAAAUAGUGAGCAGAGACUGGUGGCACGUUGUUGUUGUCGGUGGACUCGGCAUCGGCUUCGAUGCCAUGACAAAGCAAUCCAGCGACAACCCCACUGAAUUGUCUCCCCUUGUCUUUGAUGACGAACUCAAUCUGAUUGCUUCUCCCUCCUUUGCGCGCACUCGGACCUGUUGUCGCACGCCCUCAUUUACCUUCCUCUGCGAGCUAAUAGAUGUGUAGACCGUGGAGCUGACGCGAGGGAGCGAGCGGUUCUGCGUCAUAGAGUGGGGAUGGGACUGGGGAGUUUCUUGGGAGACCUCCACACCGUUGUGCGGUUUCUUCAGAGCCGUCGUUGUGUGGCGUGACAAUCGAAAGGAGAUUUGGGAGAGAAACAACGUUCACUUGUAGAAAUAACAUCAACGACCACCAUAUAACACAUAACAACCUUAGUUCGCUUGGUUAAGCAUGGGCUCGAGAGAAUCAGUCAGGGUUCGACCCCUGGACACCUCACAUUUUUACCGCGCAGGAGGGCAUAUGGCCGGGUGGCAGAACAGCCAGAGGCAGGCUACCCUUGCGACCUUAGUAAGUAGUAGAGAUUACAUUUUCAAAAUGUUCAAACUAUUUCUGUAGAAUAACACUAUAUGCACACCUACAGACACGAUGGAGUGUUUAUUAGAAUGCUUAUUCUGAUAAAAAUGUUCAAGUUGCAACAGUGCACGAGCGCGAGUCAGUGUUGGGUGUGCAUAAGGGCGCACGGGCGUGGUCGCAUGGGCUAGGGGUGAGGGCGCAGUAGACGACAACAACAAGAAUGACCAACGAAAGAAACAUGCGAGAGGAAGAGGAGACAGACGAGUGGCUUAUAUAAGGCUUAUUUUUUAUGGCCACCUCUGCCUUCGAAAAUAAACAUGUUAUUUUUGGCGUCCACCUAUCAACCAGUGAAUAUAAAUUGGACCACUUAAAAUGUAUGGUUUUUCUAUAGUGUUCUCUAAUAAAAUUAAUUUAUAACUACAAUUUACAAUAAGUUAUAACUGAGUAGUAACUUAUUAUAGCUGUCAUUUAUUUGGUUGCAACUAUGUUUGAAAUCUUUUUUUCUUUUUAAAAUGAGUUAAAAUAUAAUUUUUAAUAACUUUGGCAAACUAUAGCCUUGAGAGAUCUUAUUUUGUUCAGCAUAGUUUUCUCAACAAUAAUUUUCAAAUAAUUUGUUAAUCAGAUUUAUAGUUAAUGAGAUGUUCUAUUUUAAAGUUUUGAAUCAUGAAAAGAUUUCAUAUAUGCAUGUUAGAUAUGUUUAAUCACGAAACGAGUGCUGGUUGUAACUGAAUUAGAAAUGAACUUACAUCUAUGCACCUUUAAAGUGUGAGUUUCGUCGUGCGUCCUCCUCCCCAAGCGCGUAGCGAGUGUCGCCAGAGUUCCCUUAUGCGCCCGUUCACUGGGAUUCGAGUCGUAGUCUCUAGAGAAAGUGAUCAUCUCUAACCACUGUAGUUCAUGUUGGUAUGCGUAUAUGAUACAUAGAAACCGUAGUGAUGCAUGAGCAACUAACUAGUAUAAAUAUAUAACUGAACUACAAACGAAGUUGUUACUCGAGAGGUGACAGUUACACUUUAGGGCCUAUUUGUUGUAAUCUCGAUCCAUCUGGAUUGGACAGUAUUGAACAUGUUUAAAUCCUUAGCAAGUCAAAAUCCGUCUUUUUUUUCCAAUUCCAUCCAAUCCACAUGGAAUGGGAAUAACCGGACAAGGCCUUAGUUUGAUGGGAAGGGUGUGGAUGGACUAUUAAAGAUUGUAUCUACAUUGCAAAUAGACAACCCAAAAAUAGAUAGUUGUAUUCACUCUAGGGUGUGUUUGGUUUAGGUGUGACCUAUAAAAAACUAUGUUGCGAGUUGUCACCUAUAGAAAAGCAAAAAAUGGUUUGGUUGAAACUAUUGUGAGUUGUCUACUGGGAACAAAUAGUAUAUUGUUUAUAUGCACUAUGAAGUGGCGGAUCCAGAAAUGAAUCAAAGCAGGGGCUACUAAGCCGGCCAAUUGUGACGAUGGUGACCUGAUGACAAACGACUGAUACCUUGUAGUGGGAAACCUGGCCAAUUAGCCACUUUCACUUGCCGAUCUAGAGCCUAGACGCGGGUGCUAGUGCUUGUUGGCUAUGCUCGUGCCAUAUAGGAGAUAGAGGGAAACACCAUACAUACAAAGACGAGCCAAUGACUAACAGGUAGCGUGUGCCAAAUAUCGAACGACUAGAAUUAGGACGCAUGUUGGGACGAGACCGGUGUCAUGAUGUGCGUGUGUCCGAUGGAGACUUUUAGUCUUUUGUCAUCUUUAAGGAUGACACUAAAUAACCAAUCAUAGAUAGCUGAGUCAUUAACAUAACAUUUUAUGUGGCAACCACCCAGUAAAGAUAACAAAAGAUUAGAUUGUCCUGUUAGAUACCGUCAUGACUGGUACGUGAUAAUUUGUGGAGUGAGACAUCUGAAUUGGUGUAACACUCCGAAAUGCAUAAUGUCCCGAAAUGCUACUAAACUACACAAAACACUGAAGGACAAGAAAAUCUAGCAACAUCUCCUUUGUAAACAGGGGCGGAUCUAAGAUUUUAGGACGUUGGUGUCACCAUCUAUAAUUGCAAUUCUUUUUUGACAAAUUAAUAGCAAUGGGAACUGGGAACAUACCUGAAAGAUGAAAUUACCAUGACUCAAAAGCUCCAGCUUCCAAGCAAACAUCAAAAUUAGGAUAUAAAAGCAACCUGAAAGAUGAAAUCAGCAUGUUAUAAAACUAUAUUUAAAUAUAGAUAGCAUGAUAUAAUUUAUUUUUUCUUCACAUGGGAACUGGGAACAUACCUAUCAUAAUCUCAUAAAAACAUUCUACGAUUGCGAUCAUUCAUCUAAUGAAAUCGAUCUAUCAAAAUAUUAUUUGAGAUUGUAGCUAGAAAGGUUGGCUCGACAAAGCAAAUGAUGCAAUCAUUCAUAAAAUUGUUACCAAUACGAUUACGAAGUAUUGUCUUCACAAUUUUCAUUGCUGAAAAACACCUCUCCGCGGAUGCAGUGGCAACUGGUAGAACAAGAACUAACUUUAAAAGUCGAUAGACCAAACCGAAAGCAAGGUGCUUCUUUGUAUCAACCAUCAGCUUAGCAAGUUCGGUUAAGGUGUUCAGGUUGGAAAAUCUGUCAUCAGCUUGUACAUUAUCAAUGUAGAUCUCAAGAUCAUGAGCAGGAUCCUUUAGUUCUUCUGAAGUAAAGUCAUCUGGAUAAAGCUUAGCUAAUUCCACUAGGCUCUCCAACUUAAAAUCACCAUAAGAAUUCUUGGGACUAAAAGCAGCCAUGUAAGUAAUAAGAGGAAUUUGUUUCACUGAAACGAUCAUUAAACUCAAUAAGUAGCAAAUCAAUAACAGGGUUCAAACAGUCCCAUCUAUAGUGCUGAUAAUUUGUGCUUCCAUAUUUAAAAGGGUUCAAACUUUUUCCUUAGUUUAUGUUGAUCAAUAUACUCUGCUUCCAUAUUUAAUUUAGGGAUAUUGUGUUCUUCACAAAAGGAAUAUAUUUUUGUAAUAAAGAAUCCCAUCCAUCAUCUCUAAUCUUCUGAAAUUUUUGUUUCGUUGACUCCACCUCUAACAUAGCUGCCAAUAUAUCUUGGUUGAAUAAAAUAUUCCUCUUUUGCAACAUCUCUCUGCUUAUUAAGGCCAACAAUAAUUGAUUGGUCUGGCUUUAGUAAAUUGUUACACCUUUUCACAGCAGCAUUAUGAAAACCAUUUAACUUGCUUGCAUGAACAUCUAAUCUAUCUUUCUUGUUCCAGGAAGAGAAACCUUUUGUUACAAAAGCACCAUUUUUGGCCUGACCUUCAAUACAAUCUCUAAACAAGAAGCAGUAAAAUAAUCCUCUUUUGCAACAUCUCUCUGCUUAUUAAGGCCAACAAUAAUUGAUUGGUCUCGCUUUAGCAAAUUGUUACACCUUUUCACAGCAGCAUUAUGAAAACCAUUUAACUUGCUUGCAUGAACAUCUAAUAUAUAUUUCUUGUUCCAGGAAGAGAAACCUUUUGUUACAAAAGCACCAUUUCCGGCCUGACCUUCAAUACAAUCUCUAAACAAGUAGUAGUAAAGACAAAAAGCUCUAUCCACCUUCUCACUAUAUUCAAUCCAAUUGUACUCAUCAAACCAUGCUGGGUUAAAUCGACGUGGCUUGCCCACUAUGAUUUUUUGUGGAUACUUAAAACUAGGUUGUGGUCUGUGAGGACCUUUAACUAGGUACCUUCUUUUAAUCUGAUCUUGCAGCUUAAGCCCAGGAUAAUUUGUGAUUCUCCUCCUAUCAGCCGGAUCAUAUGGAAGUUCGUCUAAAUUGAAAUCUUUUGGUGACAGCACCAAAUAAUGUUGGGCAGGCUGAGAAUGGCUACUGACAUUUAUGUUUGGUGCAUCUUGAUUUCCUCUGAAGUCCCUUCAUCAUUGGUUGAUGGCAAUUUUCUUUUGAAGAACCGCUCCAUUGUAGGAACCGUCUGGUGUCUGCGAUGAACAAGAAUUAAGAAAUAUAUAUAUAUAUUAAGAACGAAAUUAAUAAAAAUGAAAAGGCAAAAGCCAUUAGCACCGCUUGAGAAAAAAUGAGUUGGGAAUUCUAGUGGGGAUUAGGGAAAAGAAUUUUCACCUGAUCGUUCGUCGCGAUCCUGGUCUCGCGGAACGCAGAUCGCUGUUGUUUCCUGCUACUUGCGUUGGAUAUUGGCUGAUGGUUGCAGACUGCAGCGGCGUGCGGCGAGUGGCGGAUUGCGGUCUGCGGUAUGCGGCGGCGUGCGACGAGUAGGGUAGACGCGUAUUCGAGCAAGUCGACUGGUCGAGCAGGGCAGCAGGCUACAGGUCGCUAGGCGUGAAAUGGUGAGAGCCUAGGAAGAAAAUAUGCUUUGGGCUGCUUGGGUGUUGCGUCUGUAAGCCACAUCCCACAUGCGACUACCUGUUGAUGGGCUGAAGGGAUGGUUAAUGGUGUCAAAAAUGUUUUUAUGGUGUCCUUCAUAGUCAAAUUUUAUAAUGUACACAUGACUUAGAAAAAUUAUUGGUGUCAUGGGACACCACAACUAACAUUGUACGUCCGCCCCUUGUAAAUAGGGUCAUCACAAAAGCAACUAUAUAUAUUUAAAACACAAGAGAUAUCCUACAAUAAUUAACAUAAAUCCAAAAAAGAGACCAACAAAAUUAAAAUGACCCUGACAUUGACAUCGCAGAUUAAACAUAUCCUCAUCACAAUCGAUUAACCAAAUUGAACUAAAACUAUAAAGAAGGUUUAUUCAAGAAUGAAGUGUGAAAGUGGUGCUACUUUUCCCACCGACAAAGCAAGCAUCGAACACUUAAAAAGAAUAAAGCAAGGGUGAGAUAGAACAUCUCAGCAAGUGAACUGUUUUGACAAACUAUUUAAACCACAUAUUUAAUUAAUAAUGAUUUAAUACGGACAUAGAGAAUAAAGUAGAUAAACUUCAUUUCAUCUUUGUUUUAAGUCAGGCUUCAUAAUACAAAAGAUACUUCAACUCAAUUAUAAGACAAAGCUUCGAAAAUAUCAAACCUACACCACGAGUACUUCAUGAAUGCAUAAUGAAUGCAAUGUAACUGCCUUCUAUCUGCAUACCCAACAAGGUAUGAAGCUGCAUCCGAGGAUGUUGUACCGGUACGAGUUGGACCGCAAAUCACGACAACUUCAAUGCAAAUGUAUGAUGCAAUGGAUAUAAUAUGCUGCAAAAAAUAAUAUACUUCCAACUUCAAAGAUCAAUAGAAUAACGUGAUUCUGCUUAUCAUAUAAAGGUGAUAAAAAUAAUAGCUCAAAACAUAGCAAACCACCACUACAAAUCCACUUGCCUUUGCCAACGAAGCGGGAGUGCACUAUGCUCUAUCUGGAGCACUACCACCUAUUAGAGAAUAACAAUCAGUACAGAUACUUCAUAUAUCAAUCACAAAUGGUACACAAAUCGUUCCUACGGUCCAACCCCACAACCGACGAAAUAUUACUAAAGGGGACCUUCAUAAGCAGUCAUAGGACCACUCAUAUUUUUGUAUAUUCAGUUUAUUAAUAGCAAAGAUAGCAAAUAGAUACACUCUAAGAAUCUACAAACAAUAUGAAACAACUUUGGUAUUCAAAUAAUGUCCUAAUUUCAUCAUCCUCAAAGGUUAUUUUUCAGUAUAAAGUGACAGACCAAUCAUGCGAAUAGCAACAACUGUGCUGUUUUAAGAAAACCAUAACUUCUAGACCACUUAUCCAAAUUGGGUGUAAGCAAUCUGCGGAAAUACGAAGUACCUCACUACGAAACACUCCAUAAGAGUCAGGAUCGAAUCUGCUUCUAAGCAAUUUUAAUUUGCAUCACAAAACUAGAAGUGGUACUGCUAUACAGACAAAAUGAAACCUGACCGCUUGAGACAUCUAACUUCAGAAGCUUAUAUCUUCUAGAAUUCUCAACGAAAAGCUGCAAUUAGGUACUCUUUGGAAAGAUAAAUAAAUUCUAUACAAUUUCUUCUAUUACGAGACCCUCUGAACCGGAUUCUAAAAUCACAGAAAAUGCUCCGAAAUACUGCUAUGUAUCUGAGCAGACUGCUAACCCGAUAACUGGGCAGUCAACUUCGGAACCCCAUAACUUCUCCAAUCCUCAACGAAAAAAAUACACAUGACCACUCUAUGAAAAGAUAAUAACACGAUCUAGAGAUUUAAACUAAUAAGUAUUCCCAAAUUUAGGCUCUAAAAGCGUCAAAACAUGAUCGAUUCAGUGAUGUCUUCAGUCUGAAACAGACUCCAAUUUCAAAUUUCGUGAGCGGUAGGGCAAUUCGCCUAAUUGGAGUCCUUAUUUGAACCAAGACGAUAGAAGGGCGAAGGAAGAAUCAGUUUAGGCACCUAGUAACCACGAUCACAUGCUCUCCCCCUUCCACUUGUUUUUUUCUCCGGAAUGAAGAACCCUUUGCCCAAUCUGCAGCACCAAGAGAAUCAAGAGAAUAGGAAUGAGAAGGGGAAUAUGUUUUGAUUCAAGGAGAGAUGAAUUAAGUCGCCAACCAAAGGAUCCCUGGAAUACGCCUGCCUUUUAGAAGAGAUGAGAAGAACGUUGCUGCUGCCUCCUAUCGAUGGCGAGGAAAGAAAGAACGUGGAGAGGGAGAUGAAGGGUUUUUAGCUCUGGUUGGGCUGAACCGUAUGCCCAACAUUCUUUUUUUUGACCGUUACAACUAGUUUGGAGACCUACUACUACCUUCAAUGGAACAAUUGGAUCUAUACCAUUAAAAAAUCCAAACUUUAGAUAUAUAUCAUGGACCCCACAUGUCAUUGACUCAUGUGGACCCACAUGUAAGUGAGAUAGUAAUGGUAUGGAUCCAAAGUGGUGAUCUUUUAAUGGUAUGGAUCCAAAUUUCCCACUUUCAAUCUAGAGACAGAUGGGUCUAUAGCCCCUGCAGCCCCCUAUGUAUCCGCCCUAUCACUAUGUUUAACUAUAUCUCGUAACCGAUGUAUCUGGUUAAGAAACCGGUUUCAUAUUUAUCUUUUUAAUAUUUUUUAUAAAAAAUGGCUCCACGUGCUAUAUAUUUUUUAAUAAAAAAUAUGUUUUAAUUUUAUUUAUUCAAACAAUUAGUUAUUUUUAAUCCUAUUUUGUUUUUCAUUUGUUGUAUCUCUUCAUUAAUAUAUUGAAUUAAUAAAUAUGUUUGACCAUUCCAUUUUAAUAUUUUUAAUUAAAAUAUAUUUUAUAUUUAUUUAUUAUAAUACUUAAUAUUUUAAUCUCAUUUUAAUUUCUAUUUGUUGUAUGUCUUUAUUAAGUAAAAGCAUGGUCCAAUAUGCUUUUAAAUUUGUACUGUAAAAACAUGUUUUUUAAGUAACAUCAAGAUAGUUGAACCUCGUUGGUUCAGUUUCUGUCUAGCUUAAAAAUUUAAACCAACAUAGCCUUAGUUUGGUGGAAGAGUUUGGCGGCAAGGACGCACCACCCACGGACAUAAGAUAUAUAGGAUGUAGGGAACCUAAGUUCAAAUUGUAGGUGACUGCAAAAUUGUCACUACCUAUAUAUAGGACAUAUAUUUUCUACUUAUGGCAGUAGUUACUCCCAUAUUUAAUAAACAAUAUUGUGUAUAUAUAUGUAUAUUUAUUUAUCAGUUAUGUAUAUUUUUAUUUGAAGAUACUCUAAAUUUUACUACAUAAUUUUUUAAAAGAACCUAUAUUUUUAUUAUACCGUAUGAUAUUAUUAUAGUAGUAUAUAAAAUAGCAAACAUAUUAUAUAUAUAUAUAUAUAUAUAUAUAUAUAUAUAUAUAUAUAUAUAUAUAUAUAUAUAUAUAUAUAUAUAUAUAUAUAUAUAUAUAUCGUCUGGCCCCACCGCGCCCGCUCGCACGUGACACCCACCUGGUCUGACCGCAUCGCCCCACACGUGGGCCACCUGGUCUGGUCGAAUCGUCACCCUGUACGUGUCCCAACAAAACAUGGACGACUUUUUUUCAGCCUAGGGUUUCGCCGCUUCCCAAAUUUCGAGUUGCACUUACGUCGCUCGCAACUGACGCCCCCAAUCGCUGCUCAUGGAUAGGAGCAGAUUGAUCGCGCUCGUGCUAGGGUUUCGCAAUUUGAUUGAACCGAUUGGGAUUCCGUUUUACAACCAUUGCGGUGGAGUAGAAAUUGUCGGGGGCUACAGGUAGGGUUUUCUAUUGUCUCCAUCGAAAUCAUUUGUGAUUUUAAUGUAGUUUCUUUAAUAGCAUUUUUAUUGUAAUAUCCCAAAAAAAUAUUGACCAAAAGUUGAUCUUCGGUGCGUGGAUGAGGGAAAGAGUUGUGGGCCGUUGGAUGCAAAGUCAGGAGACAUCUGAGGCGUCGUUUCUUUCUGCCACAAAACCCUAGUGGUCGCCCCUCCUUUUUCCCUUUUCUUGGCCGCCAACCCCCCUUUUCCCCACCCUUGGCCACCCCUCUCCCUUCCCCUUGCAUCCGCCCUCCACUGCUUCCUCCUCCCUCUAGAUCUCCCCCACGCAGCAAGGAUCGAGAAGAGAAGGAGCAAGAUGGAUUGAAGAGGAAGAGAGGAUCAAGGAGAUGUUACACCCCCAUAUCUUGUAGAUUUUCUUGGGGAAACCCUAGGUAAGGAUGGGAUCCUUGUUCCUCCCUAUAAUUAUGUGCUUUUGGAGGUUGUGGAUCAUGUGGAUUGAAGGAUUAGAGGUUGGAUUAGAUGUGGGGUUAGGUUUUGAUCUCAAAUUUAAUUUCUGCAGAAUGGCAGAUUCGACAGUUUCUGUUCAUGCCAGUAUUCCGUGGUCUUAGUGGCCUCAAAAAAAUAAAAUGUCUAUAUAUGAGUCGUAGAUAAUUUAUAGAUCUUUCUGUGGCUGCAAAGAACACCUCAAUCGGACAUCAGAACAGAAAGUUAUUGCAGUUUGAUUAUAGUAGUUUUUCAGUCUCAUAAUUCUGUGCAGAAUCUGUUCUCUUAAGAGUUAGGAACUUUUAUCAACAGAAUUAAACUAUGGGUUGGUAAAAGAAGUUGUAGAUAAUUUCAUAAGCUUUCCAGAUUGUUAAAGAGUGCAUUCAUAUGAUUUAUGAAACUCUAGUUAUGUUUGUUUUACUGUGGCUGUUCCUGUUUGCCUGACAAAAAUAAGCGAGUCUGUUCACUAGUGAGUUGCAUCUAGUAAAUGGCCGAAUUGGCUCUUCCAACCAUGGAGACUUUUGUAGAGGGAUAAAAGUUCUUACUGUCAGCAGAAUUUCAUAAUUUUUGGUUCAGUAGUUUUGGAGAUAUCGAAUUUUGAAGUUAACUAGGCUGCUGUCUAAAACAGAUUCAAUCAGUUAUCUUGUUAGAUGUUUUAGAACUUAUUGAUGGCAGAAUUUAAUUAUCCAUUGAAUACCGAAGUUGUAGAGUGUUUUGUGUAGAUACUCCUAGAGUAUUUGUUUGAUUUCACCACUGUUUUAAUUUUAAAUAUACAAAAUUAAUAAACAGCGCUGCUGCUGUAUGUCAUGUGGUUCAGGGUGGGAGUCUUUCCACUGGGUCUUGGUUUCAAGUGUAGGAGUGUUUUGUUGAUUGUUGGCAAAUGUUUGUGAAAUAUUUAUACUAAGUUUUAUGCCCACUAGUAGGUGGCUACACUCCAGAUCAUGGCUAGUAUAUUUUUCUUCUUCGAUGAAGGCAAAUGAAUGUAGCGGUGGUUGCUUCCGUUCUGACCUGUUAUUUCUAUUGCCUACACUCUAAUAUUCAGAAGUAUUGGAUUCUUUCAUAAUUGGACUCUAUGGUGAUGCUUUACUUGCUUGCAUUAUACUGAUGCUCAAUCAUAUACUGAUGAUGAUUAUGAUUCGAGUAUGACUCAUGAGAUUAAUUCACACCCCUGAAGGUAAAUGAAGUAUUAUUUGAGGUUGCUAUUGUAUCUGAAGGUAAAUGAAGUAUUAUUUGAGAUUUGUAUUGUAUCUGAAGGUAAAUGAAGUAUUAUUUGAGGUUGUAUUGUAUGUGAAGGAAGUGAAGUAUAUUGAUAAAUGCAGCAUGCCAUAUACAUUGCAUGAUUCACUUGCAUAUGAAGUUGGGUCGUGACCUAUGGUCCGACCGUACUGGUACAACUUAGCAUCGUACGUUGCCCGAGGAGGGAUACGAUGCGGCUUCAUACCCUUAGAGUUAUGAAGGCAGAGGACAUAUGCAUUGCAUUCAUAUAAAUUCAUUUAAGUGAUAUUUGCAGAUGAUGUGGUUUUAUACCGUCAGAGGUAUGAAGACAGAGUACCUACACUUUGCACUCCUAUGCAUACAUUGAAGUGAUAUUUGCAGGUUUUUUUGACGCAGGGAAGUGUUAUAGAACCUAUUGUGGUUGUUCGAGGAAAUGAGAUGGUAUUGGUUAUAUUGGGACUACUGAGUUCUAUAUCUACAAGUAUUUCUGAUCUUAAUUGUGAUUCUUUUAAAAUGUUGAUUAAUUCAAUUUGUGGUUUAAAUAUCUCGUCAAAACAAUUCGCUUGCUGAGAUGUUUCAUCUCCCUCUUGCAUUACUCAAUGCAGGUGCUUGUUGCUCAUCCAGGGAAGUGGGAAGUAGCAGCACAUCCACCUUCACUCUCAUAAUAACGCUGCUUAGGCGCAGUCAUGAUUUAAUUAGAAGCUUCUUGUCAAAGAAUGUUUGUUUCUAACUAGUUGUGCGCACUGGUUAAUUUAGUUCAUGCUGUUAUGGUUGUCUUCCCAUUGCUAGCAGAUUAUUAAUGUCGAUUAUGUUUUCUUAUCAUGAUAUCUAUUUAUACUUUGUUGCUUCCCCGUUUAUGCAAUUUUUAAAAGAGAUGCUGUCGAAAUUUUAUAUACGAAUGUUAGAAGUGUAGUUUAGUAGCAUUCUGGGGUGUUUGUGGAUCCCGGGGUGUUACAUUUAUACACGGUAGUUGGGUUCAAGUUAGUACUGGAUUAUGCAUACUGUUUUUUCAAGUGAAACAUUCUCUACAUGUUUUUUUGAGAAAUAAUCGAUGGGGGAGGUGACGGUACAAUGAUUUAUGUUUAUUCGCUAAUAUAAUACCGAGUCAAUAACAUUUGUAACAUUCAAUAAUAAUGUCGAACGGUCAAUAAACAUGUAUUAUAGGUUUUUACCCAAAUUCACUUUUGUGCAUAGUCAGUAAUAACCUCGUCUAUUCAGUAAUAACAUCGAACAAAAGUAAUACUGGGUCAGUAAUAUGUGUAACAUUCAGUAACAACACCCAACAAUUAGUAAUAUAUAUUCUAAUGUGUAACAAUCUACUGUAUAGUAGUAUAUUAUUAGCAGUCAUUAAUAUAAACAAUAUUCAGUAACAACAUAGAACGGUCGGUAAUAUAGUGGUAUAGAUAUAUAUGUUUUUUUGUAUCUGAUUUUUUUGUUUCACUAUUGCAAACAAUGUCUAUAUCUACUGAGCACAUGCAUGGAUACUAUGCUACAACGAGAUGUGCUCCAUCUUCGUUGAAAAAUGCAGUAUAUUUGAUGCCAGAUAGGCUAAAAGAAAGGGUAAAGCAGUUAGGCUUCAAUUCAUUAUUGCAAAUGAACAUUAAAGCAAUUGAGGAUCGGAUCCUCGUUGGUCUCUUAUUGUCCAGUGUGUAUGACCCUCCUUUACGCAUCGAACUCGGAGGAUGGUUCUUGCUAAUAACAUCAGAGGUUGUUCAACUUGUUAUUGGAUUACUAAAGGGAGAAUUCAAGUUCCUUGAGCUAGACUACCAGUCCAAGAGUACUGCCAUAUCUAGUUUUAGGUUAGUAACAAUUACAUCCAUUUUUUGGUAAUUACCCAUUUUUCUUGUAGUAGCCAUAUGUUCAGUAUUUUUUCCUAUUAUUUUGUUAUGUAUAGAAAAAUAUGCGAGAAAAAUGAAAUGGUUAAGAUCUUUGCAGAUGAUCGUGCAAAGGGAAUAUCUGCUUAUAAGAAGCUCAAUUCGAAGGAGGUCCUUCGUUGGGUUGUUGAAAGAAUGAUCAACGACCACAGAAUACAUGGGGAUGAUUGGAUUUUACAAUGUUUCUUUGUUCUUGCAAGCAAUUCUCUUCUGUUUUCUUCGGCCAGCUUGAAUAUAUAUGGGAGUGAUUUUGCCCCUGUCCAAGUUUAGCACAACGGUAUGAUUGGUGUCAGGCUAUUUGUGAUGAUCUCAAGCUAAAGGAAGAGAAAUUCAGGAGUGAUCGUUGCAAGAAAGCAACCACACCCACUAUCCAGAGAUGUGUACUUUUCCUGAUCGUAUGUUGUAAAUUUUUUACUCAGUAUUAUAUAUGUUUUGUUUGAUACCCAGAAGUUUUUGAGAUGAUGCACAUUGGCAAUAGAUUUUAGUAUGUAUAAUAUUUUUUUAUUUUUCCCCUUUUUGUCACACCCGAAUUGAAGGGGCAAACCCGGGCGCGAAUCAAAUGUGUGCCAAGAUCAUGUCUCAAACAUAUGAUGACUCAUGUUACAGAAAUGAAUGUCACAUCUUUACUA
rnacentral:lncRNA from 1 species